rnacentral:lncRNA from 1 species
CCGCCCUUACUUGCCCUUGUGCUUUGCCAUAGCACCAUGGGUGAAAAUGCUCAAAGAGAACAAGAUGAUGUUUUUAUAGAAUUACCUUUAAUUUGGUCAUGCAUACGAAGGUUGUUGACAAUUGCAUUUUAGCAUAUUUUUCAUAUCUAUUUAUAUAUAUAUAAGUUGGCUCAAUUUCUAUGUUAAAAAAUUCAAAUAAAAGGCCAACAGAGUCAGCCUCUUAUUUGUAGAUUAGUGGUCUCUAGUUCAAACAUGUGUAAAUUACAGUAUGGCUUGUAUUUAAAAAAAAUUAAAAAAACAAAGGAAAAAAGAGAGCAAGGGAGGCUAUAAACGUGAAUCGUCGUUGAUGCUAAGCUGAAAUAAAAUAAUCAACGGCACUGAAGCGGAUCGAUAGCGUUUGACAAAAUUGACCUUUCAGGACCUAAAGGGUUAGUUAAUCCCGCGCCGGCAAAUGACGAAGACCAGAGGGCAAAAAAGAGCGCGCAGGAGAAAAACGAAGAAUAUUCGAGGGUACUACCGUAAUAACAGGACCAACAGAGGCCCAUUUCCGUCGAACGACAAAAAAAAAAAAAAAAAAAAAAACUACCAACCAAUCAAUGUGUGAACCUUGUGAGACGCCGCCCGUUCACAACAGAGCCAAAAAGACAAAGCCGCUUCUCAACUUCAACUCCCGAGCACCAAGAAAAAACCAGAGGCACAUCCAUGGUGUGAGGCCAAAAGUCCCAAAAUUCCUCAGUAUCAAACCAAAUGGCUUCAAUUUCAGGCAUUUACUCGGCUUCCCCAACUCUCAAGCGCCAGAAACCGCUCCUGAAAUCGACGAGUUUGUUCCGGAAGGACUCGGGUUCCGUUUCUGUUUCAUUCUCCGCCCGGUCGAAAUCGGCCGAUCGGGGUUUUUCUGCGUCUGUUGCUCGGGAGAUCUCGGCGGAGUUGUCGACGGCCGAUGGGGCUCCGGCCAAGAAGAAGGGGCUGGUGAAGGAUCCGCAUGCGCUGUGGCGGCGAUACGUUGACUGGCUGUACCAGCACAAGGAGCUCGGGUUGUUUUUGGAUGUGAGUCGGGUCGGAUUUACGGACGAGUUCGUUUCGGAAAUGGAGCCCCGGUUUCAGGCGGCUUUUAAGGCCAUGGAGGAGUUGGAGAAAGGCGCGAUUGCUAAUCCCGAUGAGGGUCGUAUGGUCGGCCAUUACUGGCUUAGGAACCCUAAGCUCGCCCCCAACUCGUUUCUCAGGUUGCAGAUUGAGAACACGCUCGGGGAUCUCCUUAAGUUCUCGAACGACGUCGUCAGCGGUAAGGUCAGAUUUUUGUGUUUCUAUGUGCAUUUGUGAAGUGUUGUUAAAUUUGAUAAGAGGUAUUGGGGUGUUUAAUAGAGGAAAUGGUGUUGGUUGAAAAUUGCAGAUUAAGCCACCAUCUUCUCCAGCUGGUCGCUUUACUCAGGUACUUUCAGUUGGAAUUGGAGGUUCAGCACUUGGGCCACAGUUUGUUGCUGAGGCAUUGGCUCCUGAUAAUCCUCCUCUUAAGGUAAACUAAUAAGCAUGCAAUGCAAACACCCCUUGCUUUUUACUCUUUCUAUCUCAAUAUUUUGUGGUUGGGUUUGUUUGUUGGGUAUGGUAUUUCCCAAUUAAGUGCAAUAUCUUUGCUGCCUAUAUGCAAUUUUUUAUAGACUUCCCCCAUUGAACUAAGAGCGAUGUACUAUCUUUAUAUGCUGAAAGAAGGCCCAAGCUUCUGCUUUUGUAUGAAAUAUGCUAUUGGAUGCGGUUAAAGUUGAAUCACUUUAUCCCUUCUAUUUUGAUCCUUUAAAUAUGUGCAACUUAACACCCGUUUUUUUUCCUUCUUAUUGGUAGAUAAGAUUCAUUGACAAUACCGAUCCAGCAGGAAUUGAUCACCAGAUUGCACAACUUGGCCCCGAGCUGGCUUCUACACUUGUAAUUGUGAUUUCAAAGGUUUGAAUGGACAUUUAAUUUUCCCUUUACUCUGUUGAUGUGUUAAAUUGUUAAUGCUACUAUAUGAAGUAAACUAUCCUUCUGUAUAGACUUGUGUUUUAAAGUUUGAACCAUAUCUAAAAAUACUAGAGAUAUUUGCAAAAAAAUAGUUGUAACUUUUUAUGCCAUAUCAAAGAAUUUUACUUCAUCCCCACUCUACCGGCAAAAACCUUCCUACAUCGUCCUUUUUCAGUUAACUCUCUGAUACCACAGAUUAGAGAGAAAUAAUCCUUAAAGUAUACGACAAAUGUGAGAACCUAAUAUGAGACAAUGUGUGUGCAUGCAUUUAUGUUGCAUUGCCAGCUAGUUUUGUAUUCUAAAGUUCUUGUUCUUGAUUAUAUUGUGAUGCAUGUUGCUGAUAUAAUGCCGAUUUCAAUUGUUUUCAGAGUGGAGGUACUCCUGAAACUAGAAAUGGUUUACUGGAGGUACAGAAGGCCUUCCGUGAGGCUGGCCUGAAUUUUGCAAAACAGGUUUUGAUCUCAGGUUUUUCUUUCUGCUUUAUUAAAAUUCCCCUGCUCAAUUUAUGAGAUGUUAAUUUUCUCCCCGCUCCAUAAUAGAAAAGUAGAAACAAGUGUUAGUGCUAUUGGGACUGAUGAAAAGGCAUAAAUUUCAUGGGCCUGCGGAAAUUGCAUUUGUCCUUUUCCAUUUCUAUAGUGGAAGAUGAUUGUUGGUAUCUGUCAUGGUUUAUUGUUUCUAUUAUAGGCAACUUCUGAAACCUGCUCCUAAAAGCAUUAUUGCUUUGUUCUGGUUUGCCCUUUUGAAUCAUAAUAGUUAGCCUUUUGAAUCAUAAUAAUAGAGUAUGAUAGAGGGAUAGUACUCAUGUCCACAUGGGGCACCCAUAACAAAAUUGUUCAUGCUAUUUGUGUGUGUUGUAGGGUGUCGCUAUAACUCAAGAGGGUUCAUUAUUAGACAACACUGCCAGAAUUGAGGGAUGGUUAGCUAGAUUCCCCAUGUUUGACUGGGUUGGUGGUAGAACAUCUGAAAUGUCUGCAGUUGGUCUUCUUCCGGCAGCACUUCAGGUUGGUGACCUUAACUUCAGGUUUUGGUGCAAUCAUCAUUCAUGUUUUUAUGGGAUAUGUAUUUGAUCUUUGCUUCAGGGAAUUGACAUUGAAGAAAUGCUCGCUGGUGCCUUGUUGAUGGAUGAGUCAAAUAGAACCACUGUGGUAAGUAUUCGUUCGUUAUCUCUGAUUUUUAUGUUUGGAUAUAUUCCAGUUUGGCAAGGGCGAAGUUACUGAUUCAUAAAGUCAGUAUGAAAUAUUUAUUCUGAUUUUGACGGCAAGUCAUGAUUCCUGUGAUGUACUUAUUUGGGGCAAACGAGCAAGGCUAUCAACAAGGGUUAAUUUUGUAAAUAGUGGAAAAAAUUAUUCAGUUUAUGUGAUGGAUAAUUCUGCUGUUGCAAAUAUUUCUCUUCUGUAUCUGACUUGAUCUGCUACGAGUUAUGAUUGAAAGUCAUUUACUUGCCAUCUCUGUUUACUGUUGUAUUCUGCUUUCAUCAGUAAAUCCAUUUCUUGUUGUUUGUUGCUGAUAAUAUAAUUUCUUCUUUUUCCUAACGGUGAAUGAUUUCCCUGUAGAACUUACAUGAGAACAAAAUUGCAUAACUAAAUCGAAAGUAAUAAAUAAUGACUAGUUCUAUUGUUUGUCUAGUACUUCCCUAACCAAAAUGGGAGUGGAAAACAAAAGAUUAAUGUUUUUCACAAUUUCACAAUUUUUUUUUGGUUCAGGUUAAGAAUAACCCUGCUGCAUUGCUUGCUCUAAGUUGGUAUUGGGCAUCUGAUGGGUUAGGAUCCAAGGUAUUAUAUGCUCCCUCUAUUUAUACUCACUAAAUUGUGUUACAUUUGAUUGAGAUUUCUUUAUGGUGGGUUUUUCUUUCUGAAUUUUUUAAACUGUUCAUCCUUUCUCUUUCCCCAGGAUAUGGUUGUUCUUCCGUACAAGGACAGCUUAUUAUUAUUUAGUCGGUAUUUGCAGCAGCUGGUCAUGGAAUCUAUUGGGAAGGAGUUUGACCUUGAUGGUAAUCGGGUAUGUGUAACAAAUCUGCAUACCCAUCUUUUGUUUUUUAAUCGAAAAAUGAGCAUCCCAAACACGCGAGUUUGAUUGCCAAUAUAAACAUAUUUGCAGUAUCUUGAGGUGUUAGUCUUUCAACUGCGGGGCAUGAUUUUCAGCUAACAACAGGGUAGUUAGUUGAUUCUUUCAUUUGUUUUUUAGUACUCUCAGAAUGCCAUUUACCCAAGAUGAUGAGGCUUCGGCACUUUUACGAGGCUGCAUAAAUGAUGAGUUUAGUAUUAGUCAUGCAGCUCCAUGAGCUGACUUGCUUCAGAGUUUAUCACUUGUCAAAUAGCAUAGUUUUCAUUCUGAUCCUUCUUGGUGGCCAAGCAUAAUGGAUUGUUUAAGUCUGUUCCUGCCGUACUUAGUAGUAUCCAUCAUUAAAGAUGCUCCACCCCUAGGUUCUUUGUACGUAUGUAUAGUUUCAUCAUUGUUUGCUUGCAGCUCACCUUUUUGGCUUUCACAGGUGAAUCAAGGACUUACGGUUUAUGGAAAUAAGGGGAGCACGGAUCAGCAUGCGUGAGUUCACAUUUUUCUUUAUUAAGUGCAGCUCAUCUAUAUCUUGAUGCAAACUAUUUGCGAGCCUGAUGCACCUGUUUGUGCAGCUACAUCCAACAACUGAGAGAAGGCGUCCACAAUUUCUUUGUGACAUUCAUUGAAGUAUUACGCGAUAGGCCUCCUGGUCAUGAUUGGGAGCUUGAACCAGGCGUCACAUGUGGGGACUACCUGUUUGGAAUGCUACAGGUUGGAAUGCUACAGUUUUUAUUAUUAUCUGGAGAUGAUAUUUUAGUUUUAUUGUUUUACAGCUUGCUCUCCUUUUAGUUCCUGUCUACCUAUAUCCAUCUGAACGAGUUUUUACAGGGAACAAGGUCAGCUCUUUAUGGUAACGACCGGGAGUCAAUUACAGUUACUGUGCAAGAAGUGACACCUAGAUCUGUUGGUGCUCUUAUAGCACUUUAUGAGAGAGCAGUUGGGAUAUAUGCUUCACUUGUCAACAUUAAUGCGUAUCAUCAACCUGGUAAAUAAAUAUGUUUAUCCAUCCUUGGGUCUGGAAGUGAGAAAGCUUUUCAUCUUUGUUAACCCCUUUCAUUUUAUUCUUGGCUCAGGUGUGGAAGCUGGUAAAAAAGCAGCUGGAGAAGUUUUAGCUCUUCAGAAGCGGGUUUUAGCUGUACUCAAUGAGGCCAGGUAUGUUGUCAAUUAUUAGCAAUCUAGCUCAUUUUGUGUAUAGGUUCUGAAAUGUGUUGACUCCGCAAUUCUGUGUGUGGUGGUCCUUGCAAAUAAUUUUGAUUUGUCCAAAAUUAAAGGAAAAAAGCUAUUUGCUUUAGGAACAAAAUUGGUGUCAUUCACAGACAUCCUUGUAUUGAAACGCCUGAUUUUGAGUGCAAAGUUCAUACAAAUAUGGGUAUGGCGGGGAAAAAAAGGUGUGUGCAAGAUGUUCCUGCAAUACUUUUGAGAAUGUGACAACAGAUCAUUAUUUGGAACGAUUCUUAGAAACAAUCCAGAUCAAGUAGUUUUGUAUUUUUACAAAAUUAAAAGGAAAAAGGACAAUUGCUAUGGAACAAAAUUGCUGUCACAUCCUGGUGUUGAAAUGCCUGAUUUUGAGUGUGAAUGUGUUUCAAAUAUGGAAAGAAAAUAUGUGGAAGGUUUUUACCUGUUAUCCUACUGAGAAUAUGACAACAUUAUCAUUAUUCGGAAAACAGACAAAACCCAGAUGAAGGACCACCUCUACCAUGUCACAUAAACUAAAGAUGUGACUGGAUUUGUCAUUGUUUUUAAUUUUCACCGUUCACCACCAUCUUUCUGUUUUCAGCUGCAAGGAGCCUGUUGAACCGUUGACGCUUGAAGAAGUAGCUGACCGGUGCCAUUCUCCCGAACAAGUAUUUCCAGUUUCUCAGUUUCAUUCUUUUCUUUAUGAAAUCCCGUUUCAAAAAUUAGAUACUUUCUUCGCUAACCUUGUUACAUAAUUGCUUCAGAUCGAAAUGAUUUACAAGAUCAUCGCUCACAUGGCCGCCAACGACAGAGCACUCAUUGCCGAAGGCAGCUGCGGUUCACCACGGAGCAUCAAAGUUUUCCUUGGGGAGUGUAAUGUCGAUGCGUUGUAUGCUUAAGUUUGUUUUCCCCUGUAUUAUGCAUGUGUUUGAAUUUACACAUCCGAAGAUUUGAUCUUCCUUCCCAUUGUAUCUUGUCUCUUAUUUGGCAAAGUUAGCUUGGAAAUAAUAAAAAAUUAUGUUCCGACAUUUAAGAAUAAUAAGCUGGUUUAUCAGAAAUAUUUAUAUAAUAUUGUCAUAAUCUUCAUCCUUUGUCAACAUUGUCUGCAGUGUGUCAACAUUUUUUUUUUCUCUUGAUCAAUGUUUAUUUGAUUAUAGUAAUAAUAAUAAUAGCAGAUAUUCCAACACCCCAAGCACAUGAAAGUAUUGAUGGUAUGAUUGAGGGCCCAUAUGGUAAUAUACACUUAUUGUUCAUAAACGCGUUUAUUAUAACGUCAUACUUUUCGUUAAAAUUUCAAGUGCUUUUUAAGUGUUAAGUGCUUUUUCAGAAAACGUUUGUAUGUCUUAUAAACACUUUAAAAUUGUUUUGUCAUUAUCAAGGCUUAGGUUUGAGUUAUACUUCUGACAAUCCCUCUUUGUGGGUAAUAUGUAAAAAUAAAAAGAAGGGAUUAAGAGAUGGCGUAGCCUCCCCUCCCUCUAAACUUUUAGCAAGCAAAAUAAUUAAAAAAAAUGUUCUGUCAAAUGCAGUUAAAAACGUUCUUGGUUAAUUCAGAAGUACUUUCAGAGUCAAUUUUCAAAAUUUCAAAAUUUCAAAAUGCUUUUUGAAAAUGGUACUCGACUAAAAAUUGACAAAAUAAACGGUCUCAAUAAUAUGGUCCAGCACAGAGGCUGCAAAAGACAACAACGGAUGAUUGUGUGUUUGGGGCUGUGAGAUUGAAAUCCAAUUUGUCCAUGUCACUGUCCAUUUCCAAGGCUCCAACUGUUGCCUACCCUGUUUUCAUUAUCAAACAGCACACGCCUAAUAAAUUCCUUGUACUCCUAAUACUCAUAGUCAUUGUCUUAAUUAAAUAAGAUAGUUUGAAAAGUGCACCGCUGGAAAGCUUCAUCUUUGAUUUUUUUUCCUUAUCAAUGUAUCCAUCUUUUGUGUAUCUUAUGGGAAAAGGAAUGUACAACUACUAGUAGCACUCAAUGGAGUACGGACAAUCCAAAAUUUUUAGAUAUGACCUUAGGAGACUUUAACCAUACACUAUCCAUAUAGUCAAGAUGCAUAUUAUUUUCACUCUUGUUUUUGGAGAUUUGUCGUAUCGCUUACUCAAUCGGUAUUUUGUAUUCAUAUAUGAGUAAAAGAUGAGUCAAUUAUACUCUCAAGGAAAUUGUUAUCAACGCCUUGAAAUAGUUAUUGUGUACAAAUUACUUCUAUAUAUCUAAUGUCUCGCUCCUAAUAUAAUAAGUGACAUGAAAAGAAAAAUAAAAACACAUAAGCAGUGACACAGAGACAAGAAGUUUCUCUCACAAUUUAGGGGUGCUCAUGCAUCUCACACGUAUUAUGUAUCAACGUUUACCCAACAGAAUGAUUAAAAAAACACCAAAAUAGAGAGAGAGAGACUCUGAGGUUUGGUUGGCGGUGCGAGUGGCAUGUGGUCGUAGUGGAUCCCAGCCCGUGCAAAAAUAGCUUAAGGACUAAGGCAACAGCCACAUUCAAUCUAGUAAUAAUUUAACAAUACACCAAAUUAAUCACACUUAAAAAUUACAACGACCAUACUAAAUUACGAAUUAAAUAAUUUCCAAUUCCAUUUGCAGUGGUACGAACAAAUUUAGACAAAUAGUUUUAUUUUAUUUUUUCAAAUUAAAGUGACCAGAAGCCCUAUCCAUGAUUUCACAUUCUACCCAUGACCAAGAAAACAAAACAAGAGCCAACAAAAAAAAAAAUUUAUAAAAGAAGAAAAGGAAAAAGUAAGGGCCGGCGGGACCCACUGGACCACCACCACCCAUGUGACCGGAUUCUUUUAGUUUAGCGCGAAAUUAGACCAAAAAAAGUCUGUCUGUCCCCACCUCCAACGUUCGAAACUUGUUUUAUUUUCUUCGACUUAAUAAAAUACUAAAAAAAAAACAAAACAUUCAAUUUAUUAUUCCAAAAAAAAAAAAAAAAAGAAGUUAAAAACAAAAAAUUGGAGCUCCGGUUUGCCACGUCAACUACCCGUUACUUUGUUGACAGCUACGUGCGCUUUAUUUCCGGAAUUUUAAUGAAUCUACGUUAAGUACGUUGAAUCAAUAACACAAAAUCCACUUUUAUUUCGCUCCCUGCUACGUCGCCGUUUCGAUCUCCAAAAUAUUCUACGGACCACGUACGAGAUUUGUUGGGGAGAUUUUUGAAAUCCAAAAAAUGCAAAAAGAAGAGGAAAAAAAUAAAUCCCAUUAAAUAAAAUAAAAGUAGAGAAACAAAGAAAAUAUAGUUCACAGUGAGAGACUCUCUCUCUUGACUCUGAGUAACGAAACAAAACCCAGCCCGCAGAUUUGCAGAGAGAAAGAUCAAAAGAAGCAGCUUUAGGGUCUUCUGAUAACUUUUUGCAGAAGCCAACUUUCUCUUCCAACAUCUCCUGCAUUUAAGUUGAUCUUCUCUGAAAAUCUCUCCCUCUCUCUCUCUUUGUUGUUUAUAUAGCAAUUCACAUUUGGGCUUUCGGCAUUGUUGUUGUUGAGCGUUUUCAGUGGUGCAAACCCACAAGUUUGAUUCAUAUGUGAGUUGUUUUUAGGAAGAAUCUGUGAAAAAGUUAAUUUUGGAUUUUUGGCUUCUGGGUUUUGAAUUUUUUCAACUUUUUGUGCAGGUAAAGGAACAACCCAGAAGAUAUGUUCACUGAAGGUCUUGAUAGGAGCGCCCUUCGUUGGGUUAGAGAGGUUUGCUUCACAAACUUGUACCGCUUUCCUUUCCUCAUUUGAGAAAAAAUAAUAAAAAUUAAAUAGACUUUAAUUUGUACUAUUUUUAGAGUGAGUGCUGUUUCUUGUUCUAGUGUUUUUAUGAUCUGGGUAUGUGUUAACUUGCAUGUGUUCUUUAAAGUUGACAACUUUGGUUUGAAAUUUGACUUUAUGGGUUUUGUUCUUAAUCAGAAGGAUGUUCCAUUCUCGAGUUCUAAUUUGAGACCUCGAAUUGAUCCGAUUACACACAUUCGUAGUGGUAGUGGCGGCAGGGGAUUUGGACUGCCCCCACCGUCAAAAUUUAGAAGUGGGCACUUGCCUUCCAAUGCCAUACCGGUUCGGACAAUUCCAGCUGAUGGGGAUGAGAGUGGGUCUGCUUCUGAUAAUGACAGAACCACUGAUUCAGAAGACGGCAUUUAUGGAGGUAGAUACUCACUGGAUUCAUCACCACAAGAUGAUAGGGUUCCCAGUGCUUCUGCUCAUAGGUACGGGAAGCCGUCGCAAGGGCAACCCCAUUAUGGCAGUGAUUGUACGUACUCAGAUGUCAGUUCAUCGAUGGACACUGUUGUGGGGAGACAUAAACCUGCGGCCGAGAAGUUGGUCAGGGGAACUGGGAAGUAUCCAGUUGCAAGGAAUGGUUACACUGAGGAUGAGUCAUCAGAUUCGGCUGCAAGCUCAGAAUAUUCUACUUCACAAGCAGGAGGAAGCAUCAACAGUGGGGUGCCACGUAACAGAGCUUAUGUUUCAGAGGGAUAUGCCUCCAGCGUGCCUUCACAGAGGAACUUGGAAAGCUCUGCCAAAAAGGUUUGUGACUUUCUAUUUGUUUAAUUGUGCUUGGAUUGUUGUUUGAUGUCAAAAACACCACGCAAUGAGGCUUUAGCGUUAUGGUGACUAAACAUUUGGUUUAUAUUAGUUCAUAAAUGUUGGAUGUUAUUUCCUAUUUUCCCUCUACUUAAAAGGUUGGCACAGGUAAAUUGUUGAGGAAUAGUUUAAUUCAUGUUGUAAGGACUUUCUAUCUAACAAGCUGGCAUUUUCUUUUACAUCAAUGUCGAUAAAUAAUGGUAUACUCUGGUACUGAUGCAUAAAUCUGUUGAUUUUUGCAGAAUUUUAAUUCCACAAACCAGCAGAGUGAAAAGUUAUCCGAUGAUGAUGUUCCUAGUGCACCACCUUUUUGUGGUGCAACUCAGGAAAUUAAACAGGACGAUGAGAUAAGUCCAUCUAGAGUACAUAGGACACCACAUGCAACCGCUUCAUCUGAGUUCAAAACAACCCCUGGUAGAAAGCAGGAGGGCAAUAUUGAAAAUGGCAAUCUUGGCCAGUUUGUAAGGUCUGUAUACUAUUUAAAUACUUCUCUUUGGGAAAAUGUGAUGCAAUGUGCUUGUGUUGGAAAGUGACAUGACACUUGUGGCUUCACAAACAUAAAUAUUUGAGGCAUGCUACUCUGGUUUCUAUGUUUUUUUAACUAAUGAAUACACAUUUGUCAUAUAUAUGUAUAAAUUUGGUUCAGCUUACGUUAAUCUCUGUUCACAGAACUACCACUAGUUCCGAAGCUGCUGUGCCAUCAUGUCCUGCUCGCCUCCCCACCUUUUAUGCAAGGUAUCUGUAACCAACACCACAAUUGUACAUGCUUUUUUAUGUUGUGUACAAACCUUUGGUUCUGCCAUCUAAAUUUUUAUUAACUGUGCAUGUGCCAUUUGCAAUUCAAUACUAGUGCUCUAGGGUCAUGGCAUGCUGUUAUUGCAUAUGAUGCAUGUGUGCGUUUGUGCCUUCAUGCUUGGGCAAUGGAAUGCAUGGAAGCUCCCAUGUUUUUGGAAAAUGAAUGUGCUCAACUACGCGAUUCAUUUAGGUGAGUCCACGCUCUUCAUCACCUUAUUCAUCUAUCUUGCCUUCAAUUUAGUUGGAUUUAUGAUAUAUUCUUGGAGAGGACCCUUUGCUGUUGCCAGUUUGGUGUUCAAAUCUUUGCAUAAAUUCCUAUUGUAAAGAAAGUUUUGUAAAUCACUGCACUAGGUCAUUCAGUGCUAUCCCUGAUUUCUUUCUUAGCCAAUUUUGUUUAUUGUAAAAAAAGAAAAAAGAAAAAAAGAAAAUUUCUUGCUUAAGCUAGGUUUACAAUAUAUAAAAAUAGUAUAAUUGAGUUUGUUGCUGCAACUUUAUAGUUUGGCUAAAACCAAAGUUGAAAAGUUAGGUAAUGCUAGGUUUUCAGAUAACAAAUUUGAACCUUAUGGGAGUUCAAUCCUGUUGAAAAUGUUUUGAUCUGACUAGCUAGUAGUAUUUAGUGCUGAAAUUUUGACAACAAUGUCUGCAUGAUAUACAAGCUUCUGACUUUUAUCUAUUCCAUUAUUACACGAACUCCUAAUCUUGUUAAAACCCUGUUCUCAAAACUGUAGUUUACGACAAGUACUUUUACAAUCAGAGGAAGAAUUGUUGUCAAAGCAGACUUCAGAGCUUGCCGGUGAGAAAGCUGCUCCAAAACCCAAGAAAAUUGUUGGCAAGAUGAAAGUGCAAGGUAGCAUUUCUCGCCCAUUUAUAAAGUCUUACUGUUUAAGUAAGUGCUUCGUUACAGGAUAAUCCUAAAUUCUUUUUCAUUUUGCAGUGCGUAGAAUGAAACCGGGCCUGGACCCACCUACUGGCUGUAGUAUUUCAUCUCUAAGGCCACCAGUAAUCAAACUGGCAUCCAUUCGAUAUCGUCUCUCCAGCUUCCAGUCUACACUCGCUUCUGGAUGGCAAGCCCUUCGAAGGAUUCGAGUUGUACCUCGUGUACCUGCAAAUGGUUCUUUUUCACGUCAAAGCUUGGCAUAUGUGCAUGCUGGUACUCAGUAUAUAAAACAGGUGUCUGGACUCUUGAAAACUGGUGUAACAAGUCUGCGGGAGAGUUCGUCCUCAUAUGAAGUUGUGCAUGGUAUGAGAAUGGCAAAUUUCAUGCCCUCUCUCACUGUGUAUAUCCAGAUUAUUAUAUGCUUCUUUUGUCAUUAAAUCAUGAGUUAUUUAAUAAAUACAUAUCUUCCAAAAUGAUGAAAAUUUAUGGGCCGCUCAUGAGGCACCUUUAUUUCUUUUUUCUUGCAUGUUACAAGUUGCUGAUAUAUACUGCUAUGUUUGUAAUGUAUAAAGUUUCAUUCUCUUCAAAUGUUUUUCAUGAGUUACUUGAAGUUUUAACCCUCACUCUUAUUGGCAUCAGAAACGUACUCUUGCUUGUUAAGACUGAAAAGUUCAACUGAAGAAGAGGCUGUCAGGAUGCAACCUGGAUCUGGUGAAACUCAUGUCUUGUAUGUUCUCUUGUCCCUACUCUUUUGAACUAUAUCUGCUGGAAAAAGGUACUGACAACUUGUACAGCUUUCCAGAUAGUUUGGGAGAUGAUUUAAUAGUUGAAGUACUUGAUUCAAAGGGAAAACAUUUUGGAAGAGUCCUUGUUCAAGUGGCAACUAUUGCUGAUGACCCGGUAAGACUUUCUUGAUCGUGAUUGUAGCUAUAAGGAUAAAUUAAAAUGAUAGUGGCUCUGGUAGAAAGGCUCAUCUCAACGUUGACUGCAGGCUGACAAGCAACGCUGGUUCAAUGUCUAUUGUGAACCUGAACAUGAGCUUGUGGGGAAGAUACAGCUUUCUGUAUAUUAUUCAACGAGUUCAGAUGACAAUCCCAAGGUGUGCUUUUGUUACUUUAGGAGCCUUAAAAUAUAUCAUCCUUGUUUAUUAAGUGUUUUUCGUUGUUUCAUAAUUGAGUUAGACUUUUGUAAUCUAAAUCAAUCUUCCAAUUACUUUUCAUUAUCUUGUUUUGGGCCCCUAGGUAUUCAUUUAUAUUUAGGCUUGUGUGACAGGACAUUAAAAACAGCAUCUCUUCAAUUCUCUUUUCAACUGGUAGCUAUGUUUUUUGGUAUGAGCUCAGGGUUUUCAUCCAAUAACAAAAUUUGCUAACAUAUACCCUCGCUAAAUAUUGUGCUGCUGGAAUCUUCUAGGAAUGAUAAUAGUUUGAAUAUUUUCUUGAGAAAUUUCUAGGACUAUUCAUCAGUAACGUAUGUAAUCCCCCACUCCCCUCUCAGUCUUGGGCCCAAAAUGGAAAAAAGAAAAAAGAAAAAAGGGAAGAAAGUGUAGAGGUUUCUUUAUUGUUUGGACAUAAUAAUAAUAUUGUGUAAAGAAUGAUCCUUAUUAUAUUACCUGAAUGUGGGAAUCCGGAUACUUCAUUUUAUACAACGUAUUCAAACUAGAUUUAUGAUAUUAUUUGUUUUUGCGGUUCAGUGUGGCUCUGUUGCAGAAACGGUUGCAUAUGAUCUAGUUUUAGAAGUUGCUAUGAAGGUUCAGAAUUUUCAACAAAGGAAUCUAUUGUUGCAUGGUCCUUGGAAAUGGCUUUUAACAGAGUUUGCAUCAUAUUAUGGUGUUUCUGAUGUAUACACCAAGCUGAGGUAAUGGAGUGUUGUUGGGUUGAUUGCUUGUUCCUGUUAAAAUAAUAUGGCCAUGUACUGUCAGUAUUAUAAGUCGCUCCUUUUUGUUCACUGAUUCUAUACCUGGAAUUUCGAUAGAUAUCUCUCCUAUGUUAUGGACGUAGCUACACCAACAGCUGAUUGCCUCAACUUGGUCUACGAUUUGCUAAAGCCUGUCUUGAUGAAAGGCCACCAUAAGAGCAUGUUGAGUCACCAAGAGGUACAAUUGCACUUGUCUUCAAGCAUGUAUCGUUGUUGCUUCUUUUGAUAUUGAUUUUUAUGUUUUGACUAGCUUAUGCUGGUUCGGCUUGCUUUUUGUUUUUGUUUUUGUUUUUGUUUUUUCAUUCUACUUGUCAUUCUCUUCUAACAGAAUGUCUAAUACUUUUGGUUGUCACAGAACCGAAUCUUAGGAGAAACUAAGGUUCAAAUUCAACAGAUUCUUGCUCUCACUUUUGAGAAUUACAAGUCCUUGGAUGAGUCAUCGCUUUCAGGUAUUUUGGAAGUUUUUCGACCUGCAACUGGGCAUGCUGCACCUGCAUUGGAGCCUGCUGUGAAACUUUACACGCUCCUUCACGAUAUCUUGUCUCCAGAGGCUCAGACUGCUUUAUGCCACCAUUUCCAGGUUUGAGAAACUUUCAGUUUAUUUAACAAUUAUUUCUGUAGUUGAUUUAUCUAUUUGCUUCUCAUAGAGGUAGUGUGACUUGCCAGGUUGCCGCGAGAAAAAGAUCAAGAAGGCACUUGGCUGAGACAGAUGAAUAUGUUACCAACAAUAGUGAUGGAACUUUGAUUGAUAUUUUGAGUAUGACGACAGCGUACCAGAAAAUGAAAUCCUUGUGCCUUAACAUUAGGAAUGAAAUCCUCACUGAUAUUGAGAUCCAUAAUCAGCAUAUACUCCCCAGGUAUGUACUUCAAACCGUCAAGUGGUACUUUCAAAUAUGGUUAAUUAUGCCGUAAAAUUAUUUGUCAUUAGAGCCGUAUCAUUUUUUUAUAUUUAUGCUUUUCUUAAUUUUUGAACAAGUAGGCUGAUCUUAUUUUAGCAAAAUGAUGUUCCUAAAAGGAUAUUAGCAAUAUGAUGAUAAAAAUCUGUCAUCCAUAUCGUAGGCGUCAUUUGUGGAUAACAGUAUUGUAAGCCUACAUGAAGUCAUAUUUUGACAUUGGAUAUUGCAUUUGUGUUGCCACGUGAUUUAGCAUAUGAUACAAUUUAUGUCGAACUAUCAUUAGCAUGAAUAAUGAUUUCAUGUGCAUAUAUGCUCUGAACCAUUGCAGUUAUGAACCACUGAGGACAAUCUCCUACUGUAGUGAACUUUGCCAUAUCUGCAUAAUUUCCUUGCCAUAGUUAAAUGCCUGCUUUCUGUUAUUUGUUCCAAAACAUGUAGGUUGGAAUCAUUACUUCAGGUCAUCCUUUGUGUUCCCAGAUUGCUUAUCUCACAGCCUUUUCCUGGUGGUUUGUCCAGCUGUCUGACGUUGGAUUGAUAAGAUUCUAAUGCUUUAACUUUCAUUGAACAGUUUCAUAGACCUCCCACAUCUGUCGUCAUCAAUAUACAGCACAGAGCUGUGCAGUAGAUUGCGUGCUUUCCUCAUUGCAUAUCCCCCAACAGGUCCUUCACCUCCUGUAGCAGACCUUGUUAUAGCCACCGCAGAUUUUCAAAGGGACCUUGCCAGCUGGCACAUCAGGUAAUGUUAAUUUUGUUGCUACUACUAUUAUUAAAACUUUAUAAUAAUACUAUGUUUGCAUGGUUCUAACACAUUUUUUAUUAUCUCAGUUAUGUUAAAGGUGGAGUUGAUGCAAAAGAAUUGUUCCACCUAUACAUUAUGCUGUGGAUUCAAAAUAAACGCGGUUCUUUGCUUGAAGCAUGCAAACUAGACAAGGUAAGUGUUAUAUAUAUAAUCCUUAAGCAUGGAUACUUUUGGAUUAUAUGGAGAUAAAACAAUUUGAUUACGCUAAUGUAUCUCAAAUGAGUCUGUAUUCUAUUUUGUGGGUGGUCAUUAAUAUUUUUACCCCCACCGUUUUGGAGGACUAUGUUAAAGGAUGCUUUUGAAAGAUUUCUGUAAUUAUGUAAAUUGGUGUAUGUUCUAACAUUGCAGUUAAAAAAGGCAUCUAAAUGUUAUGCACUUGCAGGUAAAAUGGUCAGGAGUUAGGACACAACAUUCCACGACUCCUUUUGUGGAUGAAAUGUAUGAUCGUCUGAAAGAAACUUUGAGUGACUAUGAGAUCAUCAUUUGCCGGUGGCCUGAAUAUGCCUGCAUUCUGGAGAAUGUAAGUCAGAUUUCUUGUGUCUCAAAAUCUUUAUAAUCUACUUUUGCAUUUUUCAUCACCAUCAUCCAUUAUGAUCCCAACAAUUUAUUGUUGGAACUGCACAUGUGUGAUAAAAAACAGAGCUAUUCAUUUAGCUUAUCAGAAAUAGGAAAAUGCUAGUUAGUCUUAUCUUACAACAGUGUUGUUCAUCCGCACAUUUCAAUAUUCAGUUCAUAAUAAAUACUCUUUUCCUUAAUUUCUUAAGUUUUGUCAUGUUUUUACUUUUCUUGGUUUAAUUUAAAGAGUGAAACUUCUUAAACUUGUUUGAUAAUUUCAACUAUGUUUCUAUGAAAGGCUGUUGCUGAUGUUGAGAAGGCGAUAGUAGAAUCUCUAGACAAGCAGUAUGCAGAUAUCCUGGCACCAUUGAAGGAAAAUUUGGCACCCAAGAAAUUUGGCCUCAAGUAUGUUCAAAAACUUGCCAAAAGGUCUGUGAGCUCUUAUACCGUCCCUGAAGAGGUUAGUUGACUUUUCCAAAUUUUUGGGUUAGAUUGAAAUAUGAUUGUUUGUAUUUUGAAAUUCGAUAAUUGCUUUUCAGUUGGGAAUUCUGUUAAAUUCCUUAAAGAGAAUGCUUGAUGUCCUUCGGCCCCAAAUAGAAGUUCAGUUCAAAUCAUGGGGUUCCUGCAUCCCUGAUGGUGGAAACACAGUUGCUGGAGAGCGUCUCAGUGAAGUUACUGUGAUGUUGAGAGCCAAGUUUAAAAAUUACCUACAAGCAGUUGUGGAAAAACUUGCAGAGAAUGUGAGUAUCAUUGUGGUUUGGUGCAUUUCUGUUUGAAGUCGUGUGAAAGUGUUGUAAAAUUAUGUUUGGAGAAAAAAUAAUUGAUCUGGAGAAAAUAAAAAACUGUCAGUCUUGUUGAGGGAAUACAUUAACUGUCAAUCUUUCACGAAAUAAUUAAUUGAUCUGGAGAUCUUCUAAGUAUAAAUAGAUUCAUCUGCAGGGACAACGUGUAUGCUAGGGAUAAUAGUCUUGUUGAGUGAAUAUAUAAUAUAAACUGCCAAUCUUUCAUUAUGUACAGAACGCCUUAUUUGUCCUUAAAGAAUAAUAAAAGCCAGGUAAGGAGGUCUAUCUCAUACAGUAGUGUGUAUUUAUGCAUGUUCUAUGUGCGUUUAUGAGACUAGAUUCUAGUAUAUAAAGAUCUCAGUUGCUGGUACAUUAAGUGUGUAAAGAGCUGAAUAACUGGUCCUCUUGGCCAAGAAAAAGAAUUACUUGGCCAAUCUAAAGAAUAUGGAUGCUUUAAAAUUUAGUUAUUUGGUAAAGGGCCACUGAUUUUCAUCUUUUAUUCCAGACAAAGUUGCAGAGUUCUACAAAAAUGAAGAAGAUUCUCCAAGAUUCAAAAGAAACUGUGGUAGAAUCUGAUGUGAGAAGUAGAAUGCAGCUUUUGAAAGACCAGCUGGCAAAUACAGUCAAUCACUUACAUACAGUGUUUGGGACUCACGUCUUCAUUGCAAUUUGUCGAGGUUAUUGGGACAGAAUGGGACAAGUAAGUUCUUCAAUCUAGUCUUUCAAAAAUCCGGACAAUGGGCUCUCAGCUGAUGCCUUUUCUUAUCUAAUGGAACCCUUUUCUGUUACAGGAUGUGCUGAGUUUCUUAGAGAACAGAAAAGAAAAUAGAUCAUGGUAUAAGGGUUCACGAAUUGCUGUCUCUGUAAGUAGUGGCACCCCUUCAACCUCCCACCUUUUUUUCUUCUGGUUAUGGUAGUAGUUUCCCUUCUAAUGUGCAGCCUUUCUUCGGUUUUCAGAUUCUAGACGACACUUUUGCAUCACAGAUGCAGCAGUUGUUGGGGAAUGCACUGCAGGAGAAGGACCUGGAGCCUCCUCGAUCCAUCAUGGAAGUCCGAUCAAUGCUUUGCAAGGAUGCUGCCAAUCACAAGGACAACACCUAUUACUUUUAGGUGCUUGUUGUGUUAAAUGAGUGAAGAGGACAUGGAAUGCAUCAUCAAGAAAGGUGGAUGCUGAACAAGUUGGGGAAUGAAGGUGCUGAAAGAUCAGCUUUUCAGCCUGCAUGUUCAUCAAAACCAUAUUGCUUUAGUUGUCAAUGUGUAUAAGCCGGGUGCUGCUAAUUUUGUAGAGGGAGCAAGCAACUCGGCUGCUCCUGAGUCACAAUUCUGCUAUGUUCACAUAUUUAUUACUAAGAUAUAGGUACUGCAAAAUUGAUUCACAUUUUUUUGUAAUUGGCUUAAUAGUUUUGCUUUAAGCAGUUUUGUACAACUCUUUUGAAUGUGCCGUGAACUCACGCACCAAAAAUAUUAGAUGAUGGUCCGCUUUCACAGAGAUUAUAUUAUUUAACCCUUCAUAUGACGCAUCUAUUAAAAAAUUAUAUAUAUUCCUUCAUUUGCGCUACCGAUCAAGCAACCUUGAAUUCACUUUUGUUCUUAUAUAAUUUCAAUGUAUAGAACCUUACACUGUUGACCCAAAAAAAAAAAAAAAACCCCCCCUUACACGAAUGGUUUGAAGUUAAAUCUUAAACUGAUAAUUAUGUCAGCUUGGUCCAUUAGAAAAACAUCAAAGUCGUAAAUUGGCUUUCUUUCAUUGGCUAUGUUAGGAUGCCAGUUAAUAGUUAAUAGUAUUGGCUCGACCAAGCUGGAUCAAGACCCUGAAAAAAGCAAUAGAUACUUGAGGCAAUUACAGAUUUAGCCAAUCACCAGCCACUGACACUUAGGUCACCAGGGCAGGGAAGAAAAAUUCUGUUUAUUGAAGAGAAGUUCCAGAAUCAAAUUGGAUCAUAAGCUCCCAUAGCAUAACAGCUGAAGCACAUAUUAGCACAACGGUUUAAACGAAGGGGCUUCACAACUUAAACGGAGCCCUACAAUCCUAUAGUGAAUGACUGAAUUCAAGCUUUCAUAAAACUUGACCUACAAAACCUGGUGAACUUGUGCAUGUCAAGAUACAUGAACAGCAGAAAACUCCAAGCCGCACUUACAUUACUUAUAUCUCACUUUGUCGAAUAUGCUCAAAAGAGCUUAUACGAAGAUGAAGUCAAGAAUUAUAGACAUUUCAACUAUAACUCACUCCUUCACCUCUUACAACCUCACCAAUGCGGUAAGCUUUAUAAGCUCCAUUUCCAUCCUCAAGUAUCCUGUGGGAUGCCUCUUUACUCACAACAAGAACCAUGCCAAUACCCAUGUUAAAUGUUCGCAUCAUCUCAGCUUCUUCUAUUCUUCCCACCUGGUGUUAGAAAUAAGUAAAAUCAGAAAACAACUACAAUCCAUAAUUUCAAGCUGCCUCCUAAAUGACAUUCAUCUAAUAUGAAAAUUUAAAAAUUUAAAAUUGGGCUGCUGGAUGAAAAAUAUUUUUACCUCUUGGAUCCAUUUGAAAACAGGUAGGAUUUCCCAGGAACCGUUAUAGAUGACAGCUCCUAGGCCUUUUGGAAACACUCGAGGUAUAUUGUCUGUGAAACCACCCCCUGUGAUGUGGGCUACCCCCUUUACACCUCCCUUGCUGAUAAUGUCAAGCACCUGUUUUUGGUAUAAGGAGGGGAGCAUUUUCAGCAAACACAAGGUAAUGAGAAUAUGCACAAGACAAGGAGAUUGGGAAGCAGGAUUUAAUGUUGACCUGCUUAACGUAUAUUACGGUUGGGGCCAUCAAAGCUUCACCUAAUGUAAUAGCUUCACCAGGUAGUUGGUCCUUCAGAGACAGCCCACUAUGAGCCAGUACCCUGUCAAGAUAUACCAAUAGGAAUUUUGUCAUGAGUUUCUAAAGGGUCAGACUGCAAGGAACAUUCUUCAAGUUAACUGCAUCUAUUGCAAAUAGUAUAUAAUGUUUUCUAAGCAGCACCAACCUUCUUACAAGAGAGAAACCAUUAGAAUGAACCCCACUGGAUGGUAGGCCAAUGAGGACAUCCCCAAUAACAAUGUUUUUCCCAUCAAUCACUGAAUCCUUUUUCACAAUUCCAACCGCAAAACCACUGAGGUCAUACUCUCCGUCUGCGUAAAAAUCUGGCAUCUCUGCAGUCUGACGUAAUAUAUGCAAUUCAGUGAGCCCUACCUUAUCAAAAUAUGUACAACAUGUGUGUGCAAAAAAUAAAAGCAAAGACCAUAUUUAAACAAUUAACCGCAAGAAUACACGCUUGAUAUAUGUCUUCUCCAGAUCACAGGACAAUCGCAAUUCACAAAACAACAAAAUUAUUUUAGAAUACCUCUCCACCUAAAAGAGUACAGUCAGAUUGUUGGCAGCCAUCGACAAUACCUUUUACAACCUAGAAACAAUAAACAAAAUUUCAAAAAGCUUCAAUUAGUGGUAUGAAUUUACGCAAUCAAAGCAACUUUUAGGCACAUUGCGACCUCUACCUUUUCAGCAAGAUCAACAUCAAGCCGGCUGGUAGCAAAAUAAUCAAGGAAAAAUAGCGGCUUUGCUCCAGAAGUAACAAUAUCAUUGACACUCAUAGCAACCUGGGAGUUGAAAUUGAUCAGAUGAGCAAUUUUGAUUUAUUUAUUUAAUGACACAUGUGCACCACAUGAAGUUUCACUUGAAACAUUAGCAUUACCAAAUCAAUACCAAUGGUUUCAUGAAUUCCAGUAUCAAAUGCAAGUUUAAGUUUUGUUCCAACACCAUCUGUACCAGCAACAAGAUAUGAAUCACCUGUUCACCAAAAAACUCCAUCAGCCCAAGUAAACAAAAUUCAAACAGACAGAGCACAACCCAAAAUGGGUAACACAUAAACACAAUCAGCUAACAAUAUACUCAAUACCAAGAGGGUAAAGACCCCCAAAGCCUCCAAUCCCAGGAGCCAUUUUGGCAAUUCGUCGAACAAGUUCUGAGCCAGCAUCUAUAUCAACACCAGCAUCCUUAUACGUCAAACCACCAUGUCCACUUGCACGUUCUCCGGACUCGUUCUUCGACAGUGAAAAUAUGCGUCUGCUGCGGGAAAAUUCAGUUGAUGGAGCCAUAGAUAGGCCGGAGAAGGUGUUGGAGAGAGACCCAGAUGAGAGUCUGCAUAGCUGGGUUUGGCUGGAGUUGGGUUUGGAAUAAGAGGGUCUGAGGGAAGAAGCAAAGCAACGAGAGAGCUCUGUGUUUGGGUUGACGGAGGUGACCAUGGCAGCAAGUGAAAGAGGCCCUAAGGCAGUGUGUCACUGACUUGCAGGGUUUUACCGAGAGUGACGGAGCUUAGAAAGAGAGAGAGAAAGGGGCGGGAAUAAAGUAGGAAGCUAGGGUUUUCGUUUAUGUAAAUAUGUAAAUUGUGUUGCUAAAUUUUUUUUUUUUGGGUCGAAUUGUGUUGCUAUUUGAGUUUGAGUGAAACAAUUAUUAAUUUAACUUCUAUUUUUAAAUAAUUAUUACUUUUUAUUUUUAAUACAACCAUACUAUAUUGGGUACAGGGGAAUUGAACCUAGAAUAAUUAUUUUCCAACUAAAAACAGAAUAAAUAAUUAUUACAUAUGAAUUUUUAAUACCAAAUCAAUACCGAUAGGGGAGAGAUAGAACUUGAUAUUCUAACCUUUAAAAUAUUGUUUUAUUUAUUUAUUUAUUUUACAUAUGAAUUUGUUGGUAUUUGCAAUUGUUGUUUUUUUUUUUUUUUCAUGACACAGGAAAAAGGCUCCUAAGCUGUUCAUCGAUUUGAACUAAUUCAUUUUAGGGAUAAUUCAAACGGGUCCAAUUAAAGUUUUUGGUUUUUACACACAAGAAAAAGGUACCUUUAUUUUUGUUUUUUCUGUUAAUCUGCUGCAUAUAAUAUUGCUGAACAAAGAUUUGUCUACAUUGCUUGAAUAAGAGAAGUCUUUUCUCAAACCAAAGUCGACAAAAUUCCAAACCAAAUGCCAACACGUUUGAAGAAACGUAGAUUGAGGACAUUUAUCGAGUCCGAUUUUCCUGUUAUCAAAGUCCCUGUGUCCCCAUGUUUCCUCCCUAGUUUUGUGACACGUGGACUCUAACUUAACAGGAGUUUAACUCUGUUAACUCUCUUUUGACAUUUUUUUUCUUCUCUAAUUAAAAGAAUUAAAAUAUAUUAUAUUAGAAUACACGUUUAACAAAAACACUUUGCAUGCCGUUUCAUCUUCUCUGCAUUGCAAAACUCAGCCACUUCAUCUUCUCUGCUCUAAGAAGAUGAAACGGCGUGCAAAGUGUUUUUGUCAAACGUGUAUUCUAAUAUAAUAUAUUUUAAUUAUUUUAAUUAAAUGAAAAAAAAAAUGCUAAAAGAGAGUUAACAGAGUUAAAUUCCUGUUAAGUUAGAGUCCACAUGUCACAAAACUAGGUAGGAAACAUAAAGGCACAGGGACUUUGGUAACAGGAAAAUCGGACUCGACAUUUAGAUGCUUUAUCAGGUUUAACUUAAAUGGUAUCUUUUGUUUGACUUUCUUCUACAUGUGAGAGAUUGGAAGCAAUACAAAUUUUUUUGAAUCUUGUUAUGAGAAAGUGUGGUAAACGUGAUCUGAAGUUCAAGUUCUUGCAAACAUGCAUAUGGUGUUCACCAGUAUUGGUGAAAUUAAACUGCAGUCAUGAGGUAACGAAAGCAUUUCGAUGCUAUGUUACAUAAAUUUGAAUUGCACUCUCCAACCAGAAGAAAAUAUUUACAAGAUUAAAUUUGAUCAAGGAAUCAAGCCAUCUGUAGCAGGAAAAGAAUGCCAGUAAUGUUACAGAAUUUUGGGAACACGGACGAAGCAGAGUCAGCAGUUCAAAGCACCAAAUACAACAAGCAAAUUCUGAGCACUAAAAACCCUAUCCCCAGCAGCAAACACAAAUUAGAGAAGUUUUGAUAUAACUUGACAAGAUGUCCAGAAGGCUUUCGUGGCAGCCCUUACUAUUACAGGGUUUUGGUAUAUCCUGCGAAUAAUGAAAACAUUAGAGGUCAAAGUACAGUAUAAAUGUAAAUUAAGACUGAGACAAUGAUUGCUGUAUACAUGAAUUCUAAAUAUAAAUUCGGCAAGCAACACGACUAGAUUACGUUAGUGAUCAAAGACACGCUGCACAAUGAUGGCGGGAAACUUUACAACCAUCAGAUCAGGUAACAUUAGAUUUAAGUAUCCUACCCGAUGGCGGUUGCCCCCCAUGAUGCUACAUUAUAAAUGACUUUGCUUCCAUCCCAAGCCUUUCGAAGUUUUCCCUUCUUCUUUCUCACGGAGAAUGUUUUGCUAAGUGCUACAUAAGAAAUAGGAAAUGUAAGAUUCCAUUCCUAAAAUGUGGGAAACAAACUUGGUCAAAUAAAGCACAAAAUGCAUACAGAAUAGAUUUGAAGUUAAGAGAAUUUUUCAAUUUCUCUUCAAACUUAGUAAGCAACACAAAAACAAGUAUCAAACUCACCAUCCUGAAGUUGAUUAGGGGUCAAUUCCUGAAAAUCACACAGCAAUCAAUUAAAAAGAGUCAAUACAUCAUAUCUACUACAUACUCCAAUUUGGUGUAUGAACCAUGCUCAAACAACAAGAGAGGCCGCAUAUGCACAAUCUGUUCAAAUUGUUUGACAAUCAUAGAAAGAAAUUGUCGACAUGUCAACUAGAUAUGUUAAAAAUGCCAACACUAGUGCUAAUGUGUAAUGGUUCAUCACAAUAAAUUCAAUGGUUCCACCUCUUAAUCUACUUGCAUUGUUCUGCGCAGUAAAUGAUAGAUGCUAAACUACGAAUGCAGUGAAAGCCUGAUCUCUUAAGGUCUGUCAUGAUCAUUAGGUCAUACAUCAAAUACCAACCCACCUUAUAACAGAAUACCAAAUAGACUAAAAACAAAAGUUCUAAAGAACUCUCACCAAGCAAACUAUUAUUUUAUGGGACGCCUAUCAGGGGAAAAAAACUAUUAUUUGCAGGAUGAUGUUGAGUUUUAAAGCAAAAGCAAGAGCAACAUACCCACCUAACAGAGAUGAGAACGUUAAGAAGACAGAUGAUAAGAAUGGGAAUCCUAAGAUGAUGAGUAAUACGAAUGCCCAGAAAAGAUCAAAUUAAAAAUAUGUGUACAAGAGACAGAUUAAGAGCGGAACCUAUUAAUUGUAAAGUACAAGAAGCUAGCCUAUGUAUUAGCAACGCAUCCAUGUAACAUGGAGAAUAAUGCUACAUUCCGAGUGCCAUGUAUGAGUGAUAAGAUACAAGAAACAAGGCUAAUGCAUAGGUGCUCUCAUAACAAAAGGAAGACCAGUAAUACAAAAGGAUAUGAACGUACUACAUGCCCAUGUAUUGGCCAUGCAGGUUAACGCUAAAUAUUAGACUAGGAUGAAACUAGCACCAAUAGUGGGGCCAAACUUUUCAAUUGGCAUAAUUCAUGUUUAACCAUAACAUACUGCAUCACAAAAAUCCACCAAGCAGGAUAGAACUGUUUUUGUUUUGUUCAUUUGGUUUGUAGAAAAGUAACUGGAUAUGGCUAAACACAAAAUAUUCUGGUAGACAGUCAUGUUGGGGUAAUUUUCUAUAUAUGUGUCGAUCAUAGUUGUGGUAGUAUAAAAUCAAAUGAAGUCUAAUAAAAUUAUGUUGAGCAGAGUUUCAGGGUACCUUAGUCUGUUUAAGGGAUAACAGGUAUGCAGCCAUAAAGCAUGCAAUACCCUCUACUAUAUCUUCUUGCCUAACAAGAACAUAGUCUUCUUCACCCAAGUCGCUAUCCUCAUCUUCCCAUAGAUCAUUCUCAUUAACCAGAUCCCAAGAACUACCUUCUUCUGCUGCCAUACAAGAAUAGUUUAGCACGGCACCAUAUAGAGAACAUAGUCAAGAAGUCGUCUAAAAAGUCUAAUCUUCAUAAUGCAGAAGACAUAUCACAUGGUUAUAAAAUUUCAUUGUGACCAUAUUCAGAUGCAUACCAGCCAUAUUUUGGGGAACUGAUGAUGCUUGCGCGCAUUGUAGCUUUUCAAGGAAGUCGGGACAUUCAACUCUAGAUUUUAGAAGAUUGCAUAACUGCAUCCAAAUGCAAAUGACAUGUGAGCUAGAAUAUGGAAAGCUUUGAUAACAAGUAGUACAGUGUCUCCCCCUUAUUCAUCAUUACAAUUCAAUCGAAAAAGCAAAGUCAGCAAUAGAGGGUUUAACUUGGGAUUAGACUCAAGGUACCAUCAGAAGGUGAAAUCUGAAAUUUUUAUUCCUACAAAAAGACAUUAUGCGGUGAGCUUAGAGGAAUCAGUCUACCGCCGCCAAGAAACCAGACAACAUAUUGGUUAGGCAUUAUAUGGUUUUACUGAGCUAGUCGAAGCAAUUGUGUUGAACAUAUAAAAAGCUUCAUCCUUUAACCUUAUAAGCAAUCACUGUCCACACUGCACACGUGCCAUUAAUCAUAUUAAUCAAGUACGCAAUUCACCAUUAAUUAUUGAUUAAACCGGUAACAGCUCAAUUGCUCUUUGCUUCAACAUUUAGGAGAAUAACGUCUUUAUAAAAAACCUUAAUCCCAAUCUCAAUAAUUUAACCAAAAUUUAACAUUUUCCAGUAUUCAACCAAAAAGUUCCAAAAUCCCCAAAACACCAGAAUUCAAUCAAAAUCGACAACUAAAAUUGAGCUCAAACCCCACACGGAACCCCAAUCCAUACCUCGUCGGCUUCGCAGUCAGGGCGCGAACUCGUCGAUCUGCGGCCUUGCUGGCGCUCAUCGUCAUCGACAGCACCACGAGAACUGUUAUCAUCAUCAUCGUCUUCAUCCUCACCGUUAUCAUCUCCAUCGCUGUCGCCGUCAGCACCCCCAGUGGUAUCGAGCGACACGAGGGCUCUCUGGCACUGCUCGAGCACAGCCUGCAGAGUCUUCCGCUUCACGCGGAGCUUAUCCUUCUGCGAUUCCGCUCUCCUCAAUUUCGCAUCGGCCGAGGGAUUCGAACCGGAGACCUCGACCUCCAUCCCCAGAACAGAAAGCAAGCUCCGAAAGCCUUGAAAUUUGUUAUGCGAUCGCCGACGAAGAAGGCCUGAGAAGGAUUGGGGGUUUUUUCGAAGAGAAGAAUUAUUGGGGUGGGUUUUUUCGGCUUCGGCUUCUGCUUCUGCUGAUGUUGUUGCUGGAAUGCAACAACAUGUGAUUGAUUAAUGGUGUUUUUUUAUUUUUGUUUUGUUGGGUUGUGUUUUUGUUUUAAUAAUAAAAGUGGUUUAAUUAGUGUUAUGAUUGAAUUUGGAUUUGGAUGGUUGGGUUGCGGGUGGGAUUGGAUUUUGGAAGGGAAGAAAGGACUAAAUUCUUACAUACAUUUUUGGGCUGUUUGGUUCCGUGGAAGAGAAUAUCUCCCACUCACACAGAAUGACGGAACCGUUCGUUUGUUUCCUCAAUUAUAUUAUUAUUCUUUGGUUUUUGAGGUUUUCUAUUCGUUAAGUUAUCCAUCUCUCUUGCUGUACUAGGUUAACCCAAACCCUAAUCAAAUAUAGCCAUGUGAUGUAUGUCAUAACAUCAAUAGAUUAUGAUUAAUAUGUACCCUAAUAGAGAAUGAUAAACUCAUUGAUCUAAUAUGUUCUACGUUUUAUUUGAGAUAUGGUUUUAAUUAUAAUUAGUAAUAUACGAUUUUUUUUAAAAAAAAAUAUUGUGAAAGUUUGGCCACUAUAGAGUAUUUUAAUAUUAAUUAUUUAAAAAUUUAAAGCGUUUUCAAAAAUAGGUGAAAAAUACGUGAAUUUUACCUAUAUUAUUCAUACAUUUGUAAAAAUAUGUGUAUAUAGUUUGUUUGGUUUUUUUUUUUAAUGUGUAUUUUACUAUACUUUUAACAAUUGUACAUAAAUUGAAAGUGUUUUUUGAAAAAUACAUAUCUUAGCCCGACUAGGGUUUCAAUAACUAGUAUGCUAACCUUGAUCAAACUACAUGCCACUAAGCUAAUAGGCAGUUGCACAUAAGUUUUAAGAGCAUCUCCUCCAGUCACACUCUCUUAUUUCAAAACAAAAUUUUAACUAAAAAGACUAUAAAUAUAAAUUUAUUUUAAAAGCUCUUUAAGUUUGAUUCGAAUUUUACUCGACCAUGUUUUCUGGUUUAAGGAAUUAUACUGAAUAAGAGCCAAUAUGAAAUAAUAAAAAAUUACACCCUCAGGUAUACAGUUCAUCUAGUUUGGGUCUUGAGUUGGUCUUACACAAUUAACAAAAAGAAAAAAGAAAAAAGAUCAAUAAACCACUUUUCAUUGUGCUAUUUCAAUUACAGUAACUUCUCUCUGUAGUUCGUUUUAGAAAAAUAUUAUUGUUUGUGACAGUAUUACUAUGUCGGCAUGUCAAAAACAAUAGUAGCGACAAGCCUAGUAGCUGAUAUUUUAUGAAAAUAAUAAUACCGUGCAGGCACGGUGUUUUGCCGUUGCACAUAAUAAUACCAUGUGGGUUAUAAAUGAUACAAGAUUAAAGGGUGGGCCAAAAACAGGCAUCAACCCCACCAUUUGCACAAAAAUAUGAUUUGAUUUCCAACAGAAGUCCCAGAUGAGUUGUACAAACAAGAAGAGUAAAAUGAUGCCGUUACAGUGGGGCAAUAAUGAAGCCACUUGAGCUCAUCUUUUUGGGUAAAGCCAAAAAAAAGCUAAUGGCCAAGAACACUCAUUGCAUUGCAGCGCUGAGGAUAAGAUUAAUUAUGUGCCGUUGUAGGAAAACACUGUUUUUGUCAAAAAGUAAUGCCCGCUCUACUGGAUUAAAGUAAAACCAAGCAACUUUAGUACAACGUUCGAAAAACCUUGCUAUAAAAUCUGGUGCCGGUGAGGCUUCUUACUUCACCAACAAUUAUUCUUUUGAGUCUCUCUUGCCAUUAGCUUUCGAGAUCUGUGCUCUGCUUUAAUCAUAUUUCCCAGUUGUUCAUCUGCACUUGGCGUAUUUUCCCUGUUGUUUUUCCACCAUCAAUGGCUGAAGCACUUGUUUCCGUGGUCCUUGAGCAGUUGGUUUCCAUCGCACGUAAACAGAUAGGAGAAGAGGUGAGGCUGGUCGUGAAUGUUGACAGAGAAGUUGAAAAUCUCAUCUUCCAUUUCAAUGCUAUUCAAGCUGUGCUCCAGGAUGCAGAGGAGAGGCAGGUGAAGGAGGCCCGCGUCAGAAACUGGCUGCGGAGUCUGGAAGAUGUGUCGUACGACAUUAACGAUCUGUUGGACGAGUGGAACACUGAAAUUCUCAAGCACCAAAUUGAGCAAGAAGAGAAAGAAGGUGUUGCCCUUACAAAAAGGAAGAAGGUAUGCCUCUUCAUUCCCUCCCCUAGCGUUUGUUGUGGUCGUGGUCCAAUUGAUAAAGUAGUUAGGCGUCAUGACAUUGCUAAGAGAAUAAAAGAAACACAUGAAAAGUUAACUGAUAUAGCCAAUUCAAAACAAAAUUAUAACUUUCAUGAGAACACAAUUAGAGCCACUGAGAAACUUGAACGGGCUGAAACUUCUUCUUUUGUCGAAGUGUCUAGUAUAAUUGGUCGUGAAGAGGAGAAAAAAAGAUUAAUGAGCAUGUUGUUAAGCGAGAGCAGUCAACAAGAGAGGAGCCCAUUUGUUGUGAUCCCCAUUGUGGGGAUGGGAGGACUGGGAAAAACUGCAUUUGCGCAGUUAGUCUAUAAUGAUGAUGAAAAUAUAAAAACUCAUUUUGACACUAGAAUAUGGGUUUGUGUGUCAGACCCUUUUGAAGAGAUCAAGAUUGCCAGAGCCAUUGCUCAAGCUCUAAAUAAAGAUGAUAAUCGAAUUAAUUCAACUAGUUUGCAACCUUUGUUGGAAUGUAUAAAUGAAUAUAUUAGUGGUAAAAAAUUAUUCCUUGUUCUAGAUGAUGUGUGGAAUCCAACCAUUGAUAAUUGGGAACCAUUAAUGGGAGCUUUACAAAAUAGUGCUAUAGGCAGUAGAAUAUUGGUGACCACCCGAAAAGAGACGGUUGCUGCUGUGAUGGGAGCAACCGCUGAUCACGUAAUCCAUUUGAACAUCUUGAGUGAUCAAGAUUGUUUGCAAUUAUUCAAUAAAAUUGCUUUCUUUGAUAGAGAACGAGAUGAUCAGCUUGAAGUUAUUGGGAGAAAAAUUGUUAAAAAGUGCAAUGGUUUGCCUCUUGCUGCAAAGACUCUAGCUAGUCUUAUGCGAUAUAAGAAAAACAGACAAGAAUGGGUAGAUGUUUUGGAUAGUAAGAUAUGGGAUUUAAAAGAGAUUGAACAACAGGUUUUUCGAUCCCUAUUCUUAAGCUAUUAUGAGUUGACUCCGGCAAUUAGACGUUGUCUUUUAUAUUGUGCCACUUUUCCGAAAGAUUAUGAGUUUAAUAAGCAUGAAUUGAUUCAGUUGUGGAUGUCAAAUAACUAUCUUAGUACAGAAGGGGAUAAAGAAAAAGAAACACUAAGAGGUCAAAGCUAUUUUGAUAACUUAGUAAUGCGGUCUUUCUUUCAAGAUUUUGAUAAAGAUGACGAAGACAAUAUUGAAAGCUGCAAAAUGCAUGACAUUGUGCACGAUUUUGUACAGUUUCUGACAAAACAUGAAUGUAUUGUUAUGGAGGUUGGGUGUGACAAUGAGAGAAACAAGGUAUUGAAUGAUAAAGUUCGUCAUUUGUGUUUAACGUCCAUCUCAGAUGGAUCAUUUCCUGUUUCAAUUUACAGUUGCAAUAGAUUACGUACUCUUCUAGCUUCUCGGUUGAGACUUUCUGCAUUAAGCUUAGAUAUAGUUUUACAAUUGAAAUGCCUUAGGACAUUAGAUUUGAGUUACAACUUGAUAACAGAUGUUUCUAAAGAGAUCGGGGUACUAAUACAUUUGCGGUAUCUUAAUUUAUCUUGGAAUCUUAAGUUGGAAGAAUUACCCGAUACUGUGGGUAAUUUAUACAAUCUGCAAACAUUGGUACUCGAGAAUUGCAGAGCACUUAAAACACUACCAGUGACAACAAGAAAGUUGAUUAACUUAAAGCACCUUAAUCUUGAGGAUUGCGACAGUCUAAAAGUACCAAAAGAGAUUGGAAGAUUAAAAAAUCUGGAAACACUUCAUGGCUUAAUUCUCUACGAUGAUGUUGACGAGAAUAAAGGCUUGAUCAAGUUAGGGGAUUUGGGAAACUUGGAUCAGCUUCGAGAUAUUUGGAUAUGUAACUUGAAGUCAGUGCAAGAUGUGAGUGAGGUCAAUAAGGCACUAUUUGUGAAUAAGAAAAACCUCAAUACUCUGCUUCUAAAUUUUGAUCAGUCAAUGGAUGCAAGUGAAAGCGAAGAAGGUGAGCUUCAGAGAGAAAUGGAUGAAAAAAUACUGAAUGCCUUUCAACCACAUACAAAUUUGGAGAGGUUAGUUAUCGGCAAUUACCACGGUCUCACUCUGUGCCUCAAUUGGAUGAUGUCGUUGCAUAGUUUGAAAAUGCUUGUUGUUGGAUUUCUUCCAUUUUGUGAGCUUUUGCCUCCUCUUGGGAAAUUGCCGUCCCUUGAAUAUCUUACAAUAGAUGAUAUGAAGAGUCUUAAAAAGUUGGGAAUUGAUUUUUUGGGAAUAGAUGAUCAAUUGGAAACGCCAACAAUAUUAUUCCCGAAAUUGAAAAAACUCCGGUUCGAAAGCAUGGUGAAGUGGGAAGAUUGGGAAGGAGUUGAAGGGCACAGGGAGGGAGAGGAUUCUGAAAUUAAAUUAAUGCCAUCUCUUUCAACCUUAACAAUCAAGUCAUGUCCUAAUCUGAAAGCAGUGCCGGACUUCCUGUGGAAGACGCCGCUGCAGAAAUUAGUCAUUAGUGAGUGUGAGAAUAUUCUCCAAGGUUGCGAAACAGCAAGUGGCAGGGAGUGGGACAAGGUCUCUCACAUCCAAAACAUCAAAAUUAAUUCUAAAUAUGUACAAAAAGACGGAGUUCGGAUGGAGCCAGAGACAACAGAGAUUUCAUGACGCUGAACUGAUGAAGAUGACGAUGAUGGGCUCUGCAAAUCUCAUCCACCACUUCCGGUAAAAUGUUAAUUAACCCCCCUUCCUGAUAAUUAUUCAUGUAUUAAUUAUUCAUUAUUUACUUAUAGUUGCUACCAUCUUGAAAUUUCUUUUUUGCUUUCAAUUCAAGUGGCUGCUGCAUCCUCUGUAAUCCUCCAACAGUGCAUAAUCUUCUGUGAGAAGAAGGUAAGUUUUUCCUGCUACAUUAGUUUCCUACUCCAAAUCACUUCGUUUUAAUAUGUUUAUCCAACACCGGAGAAUUGAUGAUGAUGAUUAUGGGCUCUGCCAUUCUCAUCCACCUCCUCUGGUAAUCUUUUCCAUCACUGCAUAAUCUUCUACGAGAAAGAAGGUAAUUUUUCCUGCUAUAUUGUACUACAAUUCAAUUGGAACACCUACUAACUUGAGCGUCGGAGAGUUUUCUUGCAGGUAUUCCCUCCUCCCUCGUGGCCGAGUGUAGAUGGUGUCCUACUUCUCAAACACAAUUAGACUACCUAAAAGAUGGACUGAGUGCCUCUGCUAGCGUAAUUAACUUUCUCAAGAUGGACUUCUUGAUUACCUAUUUUCAUCACGUCUGUCAAAAUUGAGAUGAAGAUGGAGUUCUGAUGGAGCCAGCACAAUAGAGAAUUCGUGAUGAUGAAGAUGACAAUGAUGGGAUCUGCUAAUCUCAUCCACCAUUUCGUUACAUGCUGGCUCUAUUGUUCUUGAUUAUUUCAAUGAAUUAUUGUUUUCAUUUUCUACCGAGUGUAUUGGUCUGAUUAUUUUCUUUUUUCAUUUGUUUCGUUGGUUCUUCUGAUUUUUUUUAUAAUUUUCAAUAUUUUUUCUUUUUUCAUUUAAGUUAAAACCAUUAUAUAUUAUUCGAUUUCAUAUUUAUUUUAAACUAAAGACAAUAGAAUUUUAUUAUAUAUUUUUUUUAACAUUAGAAUUUUAGUUAAAUUUUUUUUUUUUCAAAAUAUAAAUUAGCAAAAAUACACUUGAAAAAUAGCUCACAUAUUAUUAUUCUCAAAUUGUACUACCAUACACUUUUCACUGUUUUUAUUUUAUGAAUCUUUUUUCCAAUUAAUCCAUAUAUUAGACGCAUUUUCGAUGAAAAAGAACAAAAUUGAUUAAAAAAAUAUUAAAAAACAAAAAGGGUGUAAGUAGAGAAAAGGAGAAUGGAAAAAUCAGCUCCCAUAAAUUAAAGAAUUGGGUUAUUUAAAUGAUGAGGAUUUGAACUCCAAUAGUCAAAAGUAUAUUUAAUACAAUCUCCAACUCACUACCACCAUGGUAGGACACCACUGGCAAGGACAUGAUUCUAAUUUCAGUAAAAUUGGCAGUUUGACAUACAUAAAUAAAAAAUAAAAAAUAAAAAAAAUUCAGAUUUUAGACAUACUGCAAACACAAGCACAACACACCGGUGGCAAUCUCAUAAAACAAAAUAAAAAAACACACAAACGGGCACCGGUGGCAAUGUGUUGAUCACGACUUAUAAGUUAUAACGACACAUUUCUGGCUUUGCCAGUGAACCUUUAUAUGCUUAACUUGUUCAAUCCAUCAAGAGAUAUAUGCUUCCUUAUCCCGAAAACGACUUUCUUCAAAGACAAUCUAGCAUCCUCAAUCUCAUUAAACACUACAUUUUUUGUUUGUUUGUUCUUUUGGUCUGACAGUUAUAUUCUGCUUAACCAAGGAAACAUUCUUUUACCCUAAAGAGAAAUUAGGAACAUUCCAACAGCCGCAUUGAAGCAAAACCAAUUCGAACGUUGGCGGCAACUUUAGUAGUACAAGUUAACAUUAUUCCCUCACCGCACUUGGUUAUAGAAGGCAGGGGGUGGUGUCAUUCCUUCACCACAUUGACACCAAGCUAGUAACCUUAUCUUUCAAACUCUGCUUUAAUCAUAUUCAACAACAAUGGCUGAAGCUCUGGUUUCCGUAUUGCUAGAACAGUUGGCUUCCAUCACCCUGCAGCAGAUAGAGGAAGAGGUGAGGCUGGUCGUCGGCGUCGACCAAGAAGUCGAAAAUCUCAUCGGCCAUCUCCAGGCAGUUCAAGGCGUGCUCCAGGAUGCAGAGGAGAGGCAAGUGAAGGAGGCCAACGUCAAGAAUUGGCUGUACAAUCUGAAAGACGUGUCGUACCAGAUAAACGACGUGUUGGAUGAGUGGAACACCGCCAUUCUCAAGCAUCACAUGGAGAAGCAAGAAAAAGAAGGUGAGAAUAAUGAUCUUGUCCUUGCUAUAAGGUACGGUUUACCAUUCCCUCCUUCCUCAGAAAUAUUCUUAUCUGUUUUGGUCAAAUUGGUGAUCGCAUAAUUAUGCGUCAUGACAUUGCUAAGAGGAUAAAAGAAAUCAAUGAAAGGCUAACUUGGAUAGCCAUUUCAAGAAACAAUUAUAACUUUCAAAGCACAGUAAGAGGCGCCGAACAAGUUGAACGAUCCAAAACCACUUCCUUUGUCGACGUGUCUACCAUAAUUGGUCGUGAAGAGGAAAAAAAUAAAGUACUUAGCAUGUUGAAAAGUGAGAGUGGUGAUCAAUUGGUGAUCCCCAUUGUAGGGAUGGGAGGGUUGGGCAAGACUGCUUUUGCCCAAUCUGUGUACAAUGACCAAAAUGUAACAACUCAUUUCCACAAGAGAAUAUGGGUUUGUGUGUCGGACCCUUUUGAAGAGAUUAAGAUUGCCAAAGCCAUCAUUGAAGUUCUGAAUAAAGACGAUACUCGAAAGAACUCAAAUGAGUUUCAUGCUAAAAUAUGAAAACUAUGAGAGAAUAUUUGUUUGUGGGAAUUUUCUGUGUAUUCUUCUCCUUGUAGGAGGUCAUAUUUAGAAUACAACGAAACCUGAAUGGGCAAGUAAAUAAUAAAUUCCUAAAUCUAUUUACAGUAGGAAAUCAGGAAUUAAAGUAAAUCAAUUACAAUUAUAAUAGGAAUUCUUGGUGUGUAAGGAAAGUAAGUGAAUAUCCACAAGUCACGCCAACACUCCCCCUCAGUUGGUGCAUAGAUGUCGCCAAUGCCCAACUGAUCUAGUGAAUUGUGGAAUGCUUUACUGGAAAUCGCCUUUGUCAAAAUAUCCGCCAAUUGAUCCUCGGAUUUCACAAAAUGCGCAAUCUAGUCCAUAUGUCGGGGUCGUUAGUCGAGAAGUCAUAAUCUGUGCAGCGGAAGAUGCAUAGGAUACAGGUUGAGUAGGAAUUAGGAUCGGAAUAUGAGCCUGAGUCGAGGCCGGAGUCAGAGUUGAAAUCGGGAUCAGGGUCUGAAUCAGAGACAAAUUCGGGGUUGGGGUCAUCAUCGGAGUGGGGGUCGGGGUCGUCUUCGGAGUUGGGGUCGGGGUCGGGGUCGAGGUCGUCGUCGUCAUAGUCGGGGUCGGGGUCUGGGUGGUCGUCAUCAUAGUCGGGGUCGGGGUCGGGGUCGUCAAAAGAGGAUCCUGAUUCUAGAUCGGGUUCGGGGUCAAAGUCUGCAUCUGUAGGAGCGGAGCCAUCUGGGCACUCAACUCAACGAUGGUUGGUGGAGAAUGAGAGAAUGAGUCGGUGGUGCUACCUCCAUGAGGGUUGAAAAAAUCAUCAACCCCCAUAACACUAAAUAAAAUAAUCUCUAUUACAAUAGGACAAAAUAUAAUUGGUAAGUAACCAAAAUUCUAAUGAAAUAAGGAACCAAAAUUCUAACUAAAUAAGGACUCGCCAACACUUCCCCUCAAGUUGGGCAAAGAUAUUUCGCACGCUCAACUUGACAAGCGAGUCACAGAACACCAUACUUGAGAAGUAACAAUUGUAGAGAAGAUCUUUUAGUCAACCACGAGUGAAACAAGUGACAAACUAAAACAAAGUUCAUAGCGGAAACACAAGAGCAAACCCUAAAAAAUAGGGCACAUAGCAAAACACAGAAAUCCUGUGAGCACGGCUGUAGAUAAGGCAGAACACAGAAACCCUGUGAGCACGGCAGUAGGUAAGGCAGAACACAGAAACUGUGUGAGCACAGCAAUUGGUAAGGCAGAACACAGAAACCCUGUGAGCACGGCAAUAGGUAAGGCAGAACACCGAAACCCCAUGAGCACGGCAGUAGAGACAAUGGCAACAAUAAAUUCUUCCAUAUAAACUUUAGCUAAUUCACUCAUACACAACUUCUCUUCAAUCCUCCUCUCCCCUUGAAGAGAAGGGGUCGUCGGAGUCAAGAAAUAAGCAACAUCUUCAUGGAAAUAUGUCAAGGUAAUUGGGAUAGGUCAAUAAACAUAUCCCUUUCACUCAGGGGGGAGAAGAACACUUAAAUUUUUUUCUUUUUUCAUUUAUGUUAAAACCAUUAUAUAUUACUAGCCUCUCUGCAUGCGCUUCCGCGCCUGCGAGAGGCUUUUUAAAUUAAAAUUUAUUUUAGAUUUAAAAAAGAUAAUGGGUAGAGUUAUGUUCCAUAAAAAUAGGAUUCAUUAUCUGAUUUUUCUUUUAAUUUUAAUUUUUAAAAUAUGAAAAGGUGUGAAUUUAUCAUAUUAUCCUCAUUUAAUUAAUAAUUUUAAUUCUUAAUGUUUGGAUUAACCAAUGGCAUUUUAUGGUAUUAUGAAUGUUUCACCAUUCUCUGCCUUUUGCUUUAUAUAUAUAGAUUCAAUUUCAUAUUUAUUUUAAACUAAAGAUAAUAUAAUUUUAUUAUCUAUGUAUUUUUUAACGUUAGAAUUUUUUUAAAUUGAUUUUUUCAAAAUACAAAUUCCCAAAAAUACACUUGAAAAAUAGCUCACAUAUUAUUAUUCUCAAAUUGUACUACCAUUAUCAUACAUGUUUUCACUAUUUUUAUUUUAUGAAUCUGUUUUUCAAUUAAUCUACCAGACGUAUUCUAGAAAAAGACAAAGAACAAAAAAGAACAAAAUUGAUUAAAAAAAUAUUUAAAAAUAAAAAGACUGUAAGUAGAGAAAAGAGAAAUGAGAAAAUCAACUCCCAUAAAUUAAAGAAUUUGGUUAUUUAAAUUAUGAGGAUUUGCAACUCCAAUUCCAAUAGUCAAAAGUACAUUUAAUACAAUCUCCAACUCACUACCACCAUGGUAGGACGCCACUGGCAAGGACAUAUCAGAUAAUAUAAAUUAUGAUACUAUACGCUAAAUUACAAUCUAUGCCACAUGCAGCCACUCACCCUUCUUGUUGCUACCCAUGAAGUUGGAAACCGCAUCAGAGCAGACCAGUAACAUUUGAAAACCUAUUGAACCGUUGGUAGUAACAUUGGGAGCCAAAAACAUAUAAACAACUUGCAACUUGGAGAAUAAAAAACAUUGGGAAAAUAAACUCUGACCGAAGAAAACUGGAUUAGGAACAUUUUAAAAACAAUUGGACCGUUGGUAGUAACAUGGUAAAACGGUCAAAUUAGUAAAAUAUAAAGAAAAACAAAAAAUUAAAUAAUGUUACCCUCGUGAAAUUUGUUAUAAAAACCAGAGCUGCCAAUGAGGAUUAUUACUUACUUCACCAAGCCUUUUUCAGUCUCGCCACUAGCUUUCAAGCGCUGCUUAGAUCAUAUUUCCUGGUUGUUUAGUCAAGAAUCAUAUACUUCCCAGCUGUGCCAUUUGGAUUUCAUAUUAUCCCUUUCGUUUUUCUACCACCUUUCAGUUUCUAACUCCAACAUUACAUCAAUGGCUGAAGCACUCCUUUCCGUGGUCCUAGAACAGUUGGUUUCCCUCACUCGUAAACAGAUAGAAGAAGAGGUGAGGCUGGUCGUGAAUGUUGACCGAGAAGUUGAAAAUCUCAUCUUCCAUUUCAAUGCUAUUCAAGCUGUGCUCCAGGAUGCAGAGGAGAGGCAGGUGAAGGAGGCCAACGUCAGAAACUGGCUGCGGAAUCUGGAGGAUGUGUCGUACGACAUAAACGACGUCUUGGAUGAGUGGAACACUGAACUUCUCAAGCACCAAAUUGAGAAAGAAGAAGAGAAAGAAGGUAAAAAUGUUGCCCUUACAAAAAGAAAGGUAUGCUUCUUCAUUCCUUCCCCCAGCGUUUGUUUUGGUUCAAUUGGUAAGGUAAUUAUGCGUCGUGACAUUGCUGUGAGAAUAAAGGAAAUAAAUGAAAAGUUAUCUGAGAUAGCCAUUUUAAGAAAAAAUUAUAACUUUCUUGAGAACACAAUUAGAGCCACUGAGAAACUUGAACGGGUUGAAACUUCUUCUUUUGUCCAAGUGUCUAGUAUAAUUGGUCGUGAAGAGGAGAAAAAUAGAUUAAUGAGCAUGUUGUUAAGUGAGAGCAGUCAACAAGGGAAGAGCCCAUUUGUGAUCCCCAUUGUGGGGAUGGGAGGAUUAGGAAAAACUGCCUUUGCCCAGUUAGUCUAUAAUGAUGAAAAUAUAAAAACUCAUUUUAAACCUAGAAUAUGGGUUUGUGUAUCAGACCCUUUUGAAGAGAUCAAGAUUGCCAGAGCCAUUGCUGAAGCUCUAAAUAAAGAUGAUAAUCGAAUUAAUUCAACUAGUUUGCAACCUUUGUUGGAAUGUAUAAAUGAAUAUAUUAGUGGUAAAAAGUUUCUCAUUUUUCUAGAUGAUGUGUGGACUCCAACCAUUAGUAAUUGGGAACCAUUAAUGGAAGCUUUACAAAAUAGUGCUAUAGGCAGUAGAAUAUUGGUGACCACGAGAAAAGAGACGGUUGCUACUGUGAUGGGAGCACCCGCUGAUCACGUAAUCCAUUUGACCAUCUUGAGUGAUCAAGAUUGUUUGCAAUUAUUCAAUAAAAUUGCCUUCUUUAAUAGAGAAAGAGAUGAUCAGCUUGAAGAUAUUGGGAGAAAAAUUGUAAAAAAGUGCAAUGGUUUGCCUCUUGCUGCAAAGACAUUAGCUAGUCUCAUGCGAUAUAAGAAAACUAGAAAAGAAUGGGUAGAUGUUUUGGAUAAUAAGAUAUGGGAGUUAGAAGAAGUUGAACAACAGGUUUUUCGAUCCCUAUUCCUAAGUUAUUAUGAGUUGAGUCCGGCAGAUAGACGUUGUCUUUUAUAUUGUGCAACUUUUCCAUUAUAGCUAUAAGAAAAACGAUUUGAUUGAGUACUGGAUGUCACAAGAAUAUCUCAGUAUGAAAGGAGAUAGUGAAAAAGAAAUAAUAAUAGGCCAACAGUACUUUGAUAACUUAGUGAUGCGUUCUUUUUUCCAAGAUUUUGGUAAAGACAGAGUGAAUGAUGAUAUUAUAGCUUGCAAAAUGCAUGAUAUUCUGCAUGACUUUGUACAGUUUGUCACCAAAAAUGAAUGUUUUAUUAUGGAGAUGGCAGAAAGUUGCAAAGAGAAAAACAUGGUAGUGGAUAAUAAGGUUCGUCAUUUGAAUAUAAUGUCAACAUACAAUGAUUCGUUUCCUGUUUCAAUCUACAAUUGCAAAGGAUUACGGACUCUGGUAAUUUCUACUUCAAAACUUCCUCUGUUACCCUCAGACUCAUUUUCAAAAUUGAAAAGCAUUAGAACGUUAAAGUUGAAUGAAAACUCAAUCAAAGAAGUUCCCGAAAGUAUUGGCGGACUAGUACAUUUGCGGUAUCUCGAUUUAAGUCAAAAUAAGGAACUGAAAGAAUUACCCGAUUCUGUGGGUAAUUUAUUCAAUCUGGAAACAUUGCGUCUCAUUGACUGCUUUAAACUCAGAGAACUACCGGUGAGCUUAAGAAAGUUGGUUAACUUAAAGCAUCUUUAUAUUGAGGGGUGCUACACUCUGAAAGUACCAAAAGAGAUCGGAAGAUUAAGAAAUCUGCAAAUCUUAGAUUGGUUGUGUCUUCAAGACGGUGGCGAUGAUGAUGAAGGAAUUUUCAAGUUAGGGGAUUUGGGAAACUUGGAGCAGCUUCAAGGGAGCCUUUGUAUAAGAAACUUGAAUUUAGCGAAAGAUGGGAGUGAGGCUAAAAAUGCGGAAUUGGUGAACAAGAAGAACCUCCUUCAUUUGACUCUACAUUUUUUGUACGGGAUAAGUGAGCCGAAUUUAAAGCACGAAGAAAUACUGAAUGGCUUUCAAGUGCAUACAAAUCUGGAGUCGUUGACUAUCUGGGGCAACCAUACUACCACCCUGUGUCCAAGUUGGAUGAUGAGCUGUCAUAAUCUGAGAAGGCUUGAAUUUUCUUAUGUUCCAUUUUGUGGGGUUUUGGCUCCUCCCGUGCCUUGAAUAUUUACAGAUAUAUUGGAUGCGGAGUGUGAAAAAGGUGGGAGUUGAAUUUUUGGGAAUAACAGGCGAAACACCGCAAACAUUAAUAAAGUCGUUUCCGAAAUUGAAAGAACUCACACUUGGAGAAAUGGAGCAGUGGGAAGAAUGGUAAAGGAGUAGAAGAAGAGGAUUCUAAAAUUACAAUAAUGCCAUCUCUUUUAUACUUUGAAAUCUUGUACUGCGCUAAGCUGAAAGCACUGCCGAACUUCCUAUGGAAGACCCCGCUGCGGGAAUUGAGCAUCUGCGACACGAGAUGUGGAACGGAGUGGGUGAAAAAGGCGUCUCAAGUCCAAAACAUCGAAAUUAAUGGCAACUUUGUGAAAAAAGACGGAGUUGAAAUGGAGGAGGAUUGAUGGUAGGGGUCUGCCUAUCUGAUCCACCUCCUGGGCUAAAAUGGUAAUUUUGAACACCUUCCUUGUAAUUCUUUAAUUUUAUUUAUAAGCUUCUCUGAUAAUUGUUAUCAAUAAAUACAAAGGAGGAAUUCAAAUUAGCUAUAAGCUUAAUUAAUUAGUGUAAAAUUUCCAUAAACUGUAGGUAUAAACACAUUCCUGGAUGAGUUUUGAUCAUUCUUUGAUCCUUUGGAAUAAGGAGAAUCAACACAGCACUGACAGCAGGUCUUUAUCUAGUAUGUUUCUUUUGAGGUGUUCAGUUCGCAGGUUCCUUAUGGUACGUAAUUGACUUGGCAGCUGCCCUUGUUCUAAUUCGAGCAGGUCUCGUCUCUGCUAUAUAUCCUCAUUUGAUUUCAAUUCAUCAUGCUUACCUCCUAGUCCUAGUGAUUUCUGCCAUUUUGUUAUGCAGGGUCUUUACUUGGGACAAUAACCUGGUGCAAAUCAUGGAUGCAUGGAUGUCAUCUCCUCAGUCCUCACAAGGAUCAGCUUUACUUUCUGUGGCUGUGGAUCUUUCUGGUUUAUUUAUCUAUUCCGAAAGUUUUCCUUCUUCUUCCUCCUGACCUUUUUCUGUCCAGUUAUAUGCUUCAAUAUUUGUUGUCAUUUUUUUAUGGCCCUGAAUAUGGAAGAAACUGAACAUGAUGAAUUGAUCAAAUUCUUUCAGGUCCGUCAAACUUGACACAUCUGAGCUUUAGAAGAAACGAUGCAGUUCUUCGCAUGGAAACGAUGCAGUUCUUCGCAUGGAAUUAGUAGCUUCGGUUGCUGUAAUUAACUUGAUCAAGAUGGAAUUGGACAGAGUCAGAGUGUCAUGAGAUCCAUAGAAGACUUGCUCAUCUCCAAGGUAUAUUUGCCUCAAAUUGUACAAAUUGAGAAUAUCAACUUUACUUUUUCCUGUCACAACUAUUCGAGUUACAUCUGUUUAAGGUUCUGUUUUGAAAGUGUAAUCACAUUCAAAUCCAAUUGAAUUCUCUCAUUAACUUUGCCUUGCAGUGUCCAAAACGACUACCAUGUUUGUGGAGACUCUGUCAAGUGGAAAUUACUUUAGUUUCUUAAUGCACCUGCAAAACAUAUAUAUUUGAGAAUUGGGCUUAGGAUCGUUGCAUCUCAAUUAAGAAGUUAGGGACAUUUUCCAGUCCAGAGGGCACGACUUCGUGAUGUUGCAAAGCCGCUCAAGCCACGCCAAUGUAGUUUUUGUUUCUAAGUCGCAUGCUUGAUUUUGGAGCUCUUUUCAGUCUUUCCACCCCAGUUUUUCUUUGGGCCCCAUUUGGUUCAUGGGAAAGGAGGCUUGGGAAUGAGAAUUCAAUUGCUUUCCCAUGUUUGGUAAGUUCAAGCAUGGGAAACAGUUUCCUGGCACAUGGGAAAGUAUGGGGGAAAAAUGAAGCCCUCUUUUCAACUUGGGAAAGUUUGGGAAAAUGAGCCAACAUUCAAUGCAUAAUUUUCAUGACUAUUUUGUCCCUAUAAACAAAUUAGAAUUACAAUGUAUCAUUAAAUGCAUUCUUUUUUUAUUUGAUUUAAUAUGGAUAUAAUUGGAAAAUUAUACAAACUUUGUUUCCAUUCCUACUCAAAACAAACAUGGGAAAGAAAACAAAGUGAAAUUUUCCAGUUACUUUCCUGACAUUACCAAACAUGGUUCAUUUCUCAUACCCUAGGAAAUGACAUGGGAAGUGAUUUCCCCUCAAAUCCAUUCCGUGAACCAAACGGGGCCUUAGUAGUGUUUGGUAAAACCGCUACUAUAGUGGAUAGGAUUUUGAUUGGAAAGUAAAUAUUGCAAGGUAAUAUUUUUGGAAUUUGGAACCAAACUGGUCUUUCAAGCCUUCAAGAUGAUUGACCUGCCCCGCUCCUUUCCUUGAUUUUCUUAUAAUUUCUUGAUAUGUAUGGUAUUCUUUCUUACUCCGAAGUUUUGUCCCAUGUGAUUUUCUUUGAGAAGGUUUUAACGAGGCCACUUUAUUACAUGCUGACUCUGUUGUUCUUGAUUAUUUGAAUGAAUUAUCGUUUGCCUUUAAAAAAAGAAUUUCAAGUGAGCUUUUAGUUCUGCAAGGUGACGCCAAAAGACAUUACAAAGGUUCAGAUUGGUGUUUAUUUAGAGUUUGGACCUUUUUGGCCCCAUGAAAAUAACCAAGAAAAAGGAAACGUGAAUAAAAUAACCACCUUUUAAUUUUCCAUUUGAGCCAAAGUCCAAUAUGCUUUAAAAUGUCCAUUCUAAACCCAGUACAAAAAAUUGGCAAUGUAUCAUUUGAUUGACACUGGAGGAUCCCGUUUUCGCAAUCCCAUUCUUGGAGUAUGCCAACUCAUUUGUCAAUUGAAGUUAAGUUAAAGCCAAUAAUGACCUUUAAAAACAAUUAUAUUAUAUUCAAAUUAAAGAUGCUAUCUUGGAAGAUAGAUGAUGAUUUACUUUGUUUUAGCUGUUUAAAAGGUGAUAUUGGUAAUUGGCCGUUUUGUACUUCUGAACUGGGAUAUGCGACUAUCCAAUAAGGGGUCACUUUUUGAAUGAUGUGGCCUGGACUUCUAUGUGCUCAUUGUUUACAAGUUUACAACCACGAGCAAGAAGAGCACACUGAGAUGGCCAUAUGUUAUUAAUUUACUCAUGUUAUAAUACGUGUAGUCAUUUAUUUAUUUUAAAUUUUAGGUCAUAACAUAUCAAAUUUUUCGUUUGCAUAUAGACCAUUAUGUGUCUGUAUAUACAGUCACACCCCAAAAUUUCUCCAGAAAUAGCUGGAGCUUAUGCUAGCAGAAAAAGGAACCUUGCAUCAUUGCCAUAUUGAUCAACCGCUCAUCAGGGUCCUUGAAUUUAGUAGUGGCAUGGGCUUAUUGGCUGCCAAAAUCAGUGCAAACAAUUAUUUCUCUUUUUAAAAGUUGCGUGGACUUGGCGCCUCUAAUUUGGUCAUAGCUCCUUCACAAGCUGUGGCAGUGGCACACAUGCAUCGACACUAAAGAUAAUGUUAUAAUGAUGAUGAUGAUGGAGGAUGACUAUUUGUCAAUAAGCAACUGAAUUGAAAGAGGUUUGUUAAUACAAGUGGUUAAAGAGCAUUCACAAAAUCCUUUUUGUAUUCUUUUUUUUUUAAAUUGAAAUACUAUUCAGACGUCACACUGCACGCACAAUACAAACACUAUAGGAAGUCUUAUAUUUAAUUAAGCUAAUUCUCCUUAAGUUGUGAAGAAAACACUCCAAACAACAUUAAUAAAUGCACAAUAAAACCAAUGCAUGACAAUCUCCAUAUGAGGACACUUUUGCUUCUCCAUAACAUUUGUCAUCAACAUUAACAAAUGCACAAUAAACCCAACGUAAGAGUUUCCUUUAUUUUUUUUUCUUAACGAAGUUUAGACUUGUAGGACUUGAUUCCUAAGAGUAGUUCCAGCAGCUCUACCUGCUCAGGGAGAGAAAAUACGCUCUAUUGAUACAAAAUAGCCUAGGCAAGACAUGGGCUCUAUCAAGCUCUGGCAUACCCAAAGGCAAGAACAGCCUGAACUAUUGUCUGAGGGCACUAACGUUAGCGAUUAAAUUAUUUUAAACAAAAAUCGAAAAAAAUACCAAAAAGUUCAUAAUAUUAUUUUAUACAUACCUAGCAAUUUUUAUUAUUAUUAAUCUCAUACAUAUAAAUAAGAUUAAUCCCAUGUGAAUAGUAAUUGCCUUUGGGUUGGAAAAGCAACAAAAAUAUUGCUAAGACAUAUACUAUUCACAUGAACAGUAAAUGCCAUUGUCUCCCCUUGUAUUUUGCCAUGGCAAAUAAGUGUAAGUGCUCUAAGUAAUUAAAAUUACCGAAAUUGAAGAGACUAAAGCGGAAAAUAAGCCAAACUACAAGGGCGGAAAAUGGUAUUUGGUCUUAGUUAAAUGGUGUUCCAUAAUUAAGUGAUCCGUAUUAGGUUAUGUUUUUCAAAUAAGUAACCAAAUUAAUCAAUUAACUUAUAUGUCAACAAAAUGAAGUACUAACUUAAAUAAAUUUGUCAUUAAAUCAGAUAUAGAUAAUUGAACUUAUCCGACUUGUACCUAAGCUGUCCCUAUCUUUCAAAAUGUUGCUUUGUCACCUCCCAAUUUUGUUCAUAAACUGUUAUAAAUUGAAUAUGUUACUUGUCUGGCAAUAGAGUUGUUCAAAAUCUUAUCCAAUUUGUCCAAAAUGUCAAUAUAAUCCAAUUUAAUUAGGUUCAAUGUCUUUGGCAAUGUGAAUUGAACCUCCAAAUUCAAAAAUUGACAUACUUGAAUUUAUAAACUUGUCCGCAAAGAAAAUACAAUGAAUAAAAACCUUUCAAAUAUGUAAUAAUGUGUAGUAUAAACAUUUAUUUUCAAUCAUUUACGAUGCGUUUAGAUGAGUUAGCUUAGAAUUAUAACUCACAAUAUAUUGACAAGUUUGUUUUGGGACAUGGACAAUGUGUUAACAAGCUUGCCAUAUUUUAAGGGCGUAAUUAGAGGACCAGACAUCAAACCUUAAAAGAAAGUACAAAGUCAGAGAGUUGGUGGAGUGAAAUACCAAAAAGGCCCCUGCACGUUUUUCCCUCCAACACGUCGAAGAAGACUAAGAAUAGGGGUGAUGUGUACAACUGUCGCAUAUUCGGAGGGCCCGUUCUCUAUGGGCUUUGCUUGACCACCACCCAGGUUUGUUUCUGUUGGGGACACAACACAACAACACAAACAACAAUUUCUCGCUCUCUAAUCUCUCAGGAGAACAAAAGAGAGAAGAGAGAGAGAGACUCUCACAAAAGCUUCUUCCUUGUCCUCAUUCAUCAUCUUCUCUUUCCAAACCAAUAACAACCCACAUUUCAAUUUGUUUCUUCAUAUUUUAUACAAGGUAUGUUUUUUUCAUUUCAAAAGCUUUGGCCUUUGGUGAAUUGUUCUGUUUUUGUUGUUUUACUUUUGGAAAAUAAAUCAUGGUUUUGCUUGUUUGAUUUGGUUUUUUUGCUGUUUUUGUGGGUUUGAUUUGGUUGGUUUCUGGGUUUGAUCUUUUGGGUUACAUUGUGAGUUUUGAUCAAUGUAGGCGCGGGGUGGUGUGGAUCCAUGUGGGAUAUGUUUCUGUAACUCUGGGAUUCAGAGGAUGACUAACCGAAUCGCGGAAACGCCUCAGGUACGUUUAUGGUUCAAUUAUAUUCCUGUUUUAUGACAAAUGCUGCUUUUUUGUUGUUGUUGUCAAUAGCUUGAAUCUAUAGGAAGGAACACACAUGAACAUUGUACAUGCAUAGUCACACAAAUGUACUAUACAGACACAAUUCGAAUGUGCAUUAUUUUUGGUGGAAAGGAAAUUUAUAUGGUGGUUGUGUGUUUCAGGGAGAAGGCAAUGCUCCUCCUCCUCCUCCCCCGCCUGGUGGCCCUGAUCGACCUGAAUCACAGCCUUCUCGUAGUGGCAAUACGGUAAUGUCAUGUUAUCUUCAAUCAUAACAAUAUUGUGGCUGAAGUUUAUUUUCAUACUAUCCCUGGUUUGUAUGAGCCUGUUAUCAGUGAGUUCACGAAACAUAGUUGUCAUUAUCGGAUUUGGGAUCAUUAUCAUCAAUUGAUUAUCAUCGCCAUUUCCUUUAUUGCCCUUGUAGUUGAUAGGCUCAUAUUGAAACUUAGAAUUUGUAUGUAUAUUCUGUUAAUAUACCACAUGUGAAACAAAUUUGUUGACUGUAUAUUUUCUUUGCAGUUAAAAUAUUAAGGAUAAAGUUUGUUAAGAGGAACAGCAACAUAUGAUUGCAAUGCUCAGAGAAUUUAUAGCUUUAUAUUGUUGCAUAACCUCAGCCUUUACCAAAAGACAAAAGCUUUCGAGACUUUAGGUGGUGAUCAAUAAUUUAGAUGAAUGAGGAUUAAAUAAUGCCCUAUACUAUUUGUUUUCAUGUAAUCUCUUUUUUUUUUUCAAAAAUUUCCGGGUUCACCGAAGUGAAACUACCAUUCUGAAGUAUGACUGUUUUGCAGAUUUUCAAGAGUGGGCCACUAUUUAUAUCAUCGAAAGGAAUUGGAUGGACAUCUUGGAAAAAAAGAUGGUUUAUUUUAACUCGUACUUCGCUGGUUUUUUUCAGAAGUGAUCCAGUAAGUAGUUAUUUUCUGGUAAAUAGUGUGUGCAUGUGCUUAAAUCUGUUUCUUCUUGUCUGUUUCUUGUGUUAUCCGUAAAUAUUUUGACAUCCUAAGGAAUUAGUUAUCUUUCAUCACAGCAAAAUGGCUGCAAGGAAACAUUUGACGUAUUAUUGUCAUUAAGCGCUACACUGAGCUUUUCUUAUGAAAAAGCUUGCAAUGCGAUAAUGAUGAGUACUCAUUUCAUAAAAGUGGAUGAACUCAUUCAUUGGCAAAAGCAUGGUGCCUAGAAACUCUUCAUGUUAGGACUUAUAGUAUGUCCCCUCUAGUCCUGUUGCAGGAGUUUUAUUGUGUCAGAUCAUUCAUCUGAUUGACAUGUGUUGGCCAGCCAAUGCCUUUUUUCAUAAUAUUUUUAUUUCUGUAUGCAUAUACCAGAAGAAAAAACCCAAAAAGAAUCGUAUUUUGGUAGGUGAUGUGGUUAUUUUAAAUGCGGGCUAGGAACAUUUGCCUUCCCGUAUCAAUUUAAUGACAGUGUUUUCUAUGGUCCUCUCUCUCUCUCUCUCUCUCUCUCUCAUGCUUGUUUCAUUAAUAAGUUUUUUAAAUGUUUCAACUUUCAUCUACUAUAAUUGCAUUGCCAGAGUGCUGCUCUAAAGGGGAGUGAAGUGAAUUUGACCCUGGGUGGUAUUGACCUCAACAAUUCAGGCAGGUUGGCUUGUAAUUCUGAAUUGGAUUUUAUCUGCUAUUCUGCUCUUGUAUGACUGCUAACCUCACAGCAUUUAAUUGUAAAUUUUUCUAGUGUGGUUGUCAAAGCAGACAAGAAACUCUUGACCGUGCUAUUUCCGGAUGGCCGUGAUGGACGAGCUUUCACACUUAAGGCAUGUCUUUCCCUUUUGUCUCUACUAUAAUUGUUUCUUGGUCGAAAACUUGAAAAAUGCUUCUAUUGUCUUAAUGGAACUUUUAGAUUUUCAACUUCUCCAUUUUCUUUUUGCAAAUAGGAAAAGUUAAUUAGAGCAAGCCAUAACAGGAUCUUUCAGCAGGAUUCUCAUGAAACAGCAUAUUCAACUGACUGGGAAAAAAAAUUCCUCAUAAAAAUCAUAUGUAAUCUAGUCUUUAUAUGACUAAUCAUGCAUAGAAGCCAUAGAAUCUGCUGUUCGCUUAUGGAUAAAUAUGAUUCCUUUCUGUAAAAAUAUUCUAUGGUCCUGCAUAAAUUUCCUUCCUGUAUAUGUAUAAAGUAAACUCCUUCAAAACUGGGUUAAUUUGUGCUUCUACAUUUUCCUCUAUCUCUUCAUUUUUUUAAUGUUUCCAUAUAUAAAGGGCGAUACAUGAUUUGAUACAAUGACAAUCUGAGCACAUAUUUUCUACAUAUUCCUGUCUAGAGAAUGUAAAAAUUUAUUGUUUAAAGGAACUUAUAUUUGGUUCUACCAUAUCCUAUCAAAUAUGAAUCUAUAUUUUUUCAAACUUGUUGAGGAAAUUGCAUCGGCUGUGUGCCCAAGCUAGAACUUCAAGGGAAGAAGAAAGACACUACCUGUGCAUAACACUUUUGUAAAAGUAGGGAAAACAUUGAGAAGUUGACAAAAGAAGUUGACUAGUUUGAAAACCUUUUGACCAAAAGUUAGAUAUGGAGGCUAUUGUGGUCUCGCUAUCUGCUGCUGACGUAUUGGUUAUACCUCUUCCUUCUGCAGGCUGAAACUUUGGAGGAUCUACAUGAGUGGAAGACUGCACUUGAGAAUGCUUUGGCACAAGCCCCAAGUGGUGGAGCUCAUGCAAUGGGGCAAAAUGGUAUAUUGGGGAAUGAGAAGACUGAUUCAGUCGUUGGUUCUUUGGACCAGUGUAUGCUCUUCCUAUAAUGAUGCUUUAGACAUAGUGUUUAACAUAUUUAUGCUAUGCUGUGUGGAUUUGUCUUUCCUCAGUUAGCGUAGUCUCAUAAGAUCAACUCUGGUUUUAAACCAUUUACACAUUACACUACCUGAGCCUUUAUCAUAUUUAUUUGGCAUUUAUGUGGUAUGCAGAAGCUCUACUUUCUACUGGUUAAGUAAAAUCUCUCUGGAAAAAUCUAAAGAGACAACUUGAACUACGUUUUUUUUUUUAACUUAUUAGAAUUUCGGUGCAACCAUUAUCGUAAGACUAACAAAAGUCGACAAGUAUUGAUAGAACUUCUGGUCAUUAUCCAAAUUCAAUUGUACACUGAUGGGUUCUGCUGCAUUAUGAAUACAAAGAUUUGAGUUGUGUAUGCAGUAUAAUGAAAUCAAAGUUCAUCAUAUUUAGUUUUCUGGUACUCAAUGUUCAUCAUGGCUAAUCUGUUAAGCAUGAAAUCCUGUAGCACAGGUUUUCUUAUGAUGGGAUCUUGCAUUGUAUAUUUUGAACUUGAAUUAAUUUCUUUGCUAUGCUUAUUCCACCUCAUUGAAAUAUUGGCAUUUGUAUUUCUUUUUAGCAAAGGAGAAAAAGCCUGCAAAAUCUACAGUCAUUGGGGUGCCUGUUUUGCUGGCCUUGGAAGAUGUUGAUGGAGCUCCAUCUUUCUUGGAAAAAGCCCUUAGGUUCGUAGAAGAAUAUGGUGGGUUCUCCUUAUCUCACAAUCAUGUCACCUCAACUUAGUACUACAAUUGUAUUCAAUAUAGUGCACCGACUUAAUUUAUAUUGCCUAUUUUUUCUUCUGAAUAUAAAGAAAUAUAUUCGUAGUUCUUUUAGUAGAUUGGUCUUUUCAUGCUUUAGAGAUUUUUUUUUUUAAUGCCUGCACUGUCGGAGACACCGUAAUUGGUAUCUAGUCUUCUGAUUUGGAUGUAUUUUUGACCUUUUUGGUACUUUAAUUAUAAUCAUUGGUCUUGUGAUAUAGAACACUCAUUUUGUAUCCUUUAAUGCAUGCAGUUAAUUACAGAGUUUUCAAUAUCUCUGUCUGUGUGUGUAUUGAUUUGUGGUCAAGCAAUGCCUUGACAUAAGAUUUCCUGCUGGGAUUUAGUAGAAAUGGUUCUCUGUACCUAAAAAAUGGGAAAGUAUGAAAAUUGGUGAAAAAAGUUCAACCAGCUAGCUGAAUUGGAAACUGGCAGCAGCCCACGGAUAUUGGCUGUUUUCUUGUUUUUACUGCUUUCUGGCUUAAACAGUAUCUUUUUUCCUUGUUAUAAGAGAAAUGGAGGGGUUCAACAUAAAAAAGGAGACAGUAGACGAAGAGAAAUAUAGGAGAGAGAGAGAGAGAGAGAGAGAGAGAGAGAGAGAGAGAGAGGAAAGGAAAAGGAUGUGAAGACAAGAAGACAAUGAGAGAGGAGACUGUUGUAAAAUUUGAGAGAGAGGAGACAGAUUGUUGUAAAAUUUGAGAGAGAGAGAGAGAGAGAGAGAGAGAGUUGUAUAAAUUACAAAUAUUUUGAUAAAAUUCAAAAAGAUUCUUGGCUUAAUUUUUCCCUUGAAAGGCAUCUUCUUCUUCUUAAGGGCUUCAGUUUUUUGUUUUAAAAUUUUGCUGUGAAAUUUAUUUUCUUGGUUUCCUUAGUGGUUUUAUACUUUUACCUUUUGUUGAAUAAAUCGCACUUUUAAUCCCUUCGUAAUAUCUUGAUUUGAAUUUAUCCCUAGAAUUCUUAAUUGUACCAAUUAUUUUUGUAUAACUAUUACAUUAACUGGACUUCCGUGGUUCAACUGCUGUUGAUCCUUUGGCCUGGACCCCUCGCCCUCCUACACUUUGAUGACCAGUCUGAUCCUGAAAACAUUGAUAGGAUCUAUUGUAUACUUAGGGUUUGUGUUUUUGUGAAAAAGAUAUUUUAGGACGGGGUUUUUAGUUCAAUAGUAAAACUUUCUUGUCGGAUUUUGGAUACAUUUUUUUUUAAAUUUAACCCUUGCACAAGUUGUGUACAUGUGACAAUUCAGCUGUUCUGUAAUCUAGUAUAUUUCAUUGAUGUUUUGUUUAUAUUCAGUUUUAUUUCUUUUUGGUUAAUACUGGCAUAACAAGGAUUUAAUAGGUAUAAAUGUUUUCAGAUUUUUAUAAAUUUAACAUAUUUAUACUUAAGGCUCAUAAGUUGAAGCUGUCACUUGAGGGUGCUUUGUAGAUAGACUAUGAACAAUCUCGUGUCUAUAUGAUCUUUUCCAUUAUUAGUUUUGGUUAUAAUUAUUAUUUUUACUUGUUCGAUAUAUGAAUCUGAUCAUUUGGUGGAAAUCAAUAGGAGUCAAAGUAGAAGGGAUCUUACGGCAAGCUGCAGAUGUUGAUGAUGUUGAAAGUCGAGUACGAGAAUAUGAACAGGGUUAGUAUCUCUUUUCUUUUAUUUAAUAUUUGGUGUUAAAUCAUCUUCUUCUUUUUUUAAUUACUUUUAUUGUUUAAUAUAUCUAUUGCAGAGUUUGUUCUUUCAUCAUUAUGUUUUGCACAUCUGACCAUUAAUUUCUCUUUAACAAGUAUGCUUAAGAAGUCGACAGCUCAUUUGCCAUAUGCCAGAUGUUGGUCAUGGAAAUUUUUAUUCUAUUCUUAAUCUUGUUCUACCUGUGGUGAAAAUUUUCAUCUGUUCUGUAGAUUCAGGACUGUCCUUUUAAAAUUAAUUUCUAUAGUAAUUUAUCUCUUCUUGGCUUAUGAUCUUCUGUAAACAAGGAAGCCAGAGUCAUGUAUUUACAUGGUAGUUUCAUAUUAGAUAUGUUUUUCUGUUGGAGUGCACUGUCAAUAUCUGAGAUACUUUCGCGUUAUGUUUUAUGAAUCAGGGAAAGUUGAGUUUUCUCCUGAGGAGGAUCCACAUAUUAUUGCUGAUUGUGUCAAGGUAUCUAUUUGUCACAACACAAAAUGUUGAUUUCUUCAUUCAGUUGAUCGAAUGCUCUGAAAGCUGUUUUUAUAUUUGUUGUCUUGAUGCAAAUUUGCAGUAUGUCCUUCGGGAGUUGCCAUCUUCUCCGGUCCCUGCCUCUUGCUGCAAUGCACUACUAGAAGCCUUCCGUAAGUCUGGUAUGAUGCUUCUGAUUUAAAAUGUAUCAUCUGUCUCUUUAUUCCUUUAAGUUACGAACAUAGGAUAUGUAUUGUGUCAUAAGGUUGGGCAAAACAUAUCAUCUGUCUCUUUAACACCCUCUUCAUACCCUUUAAUUUUAUUGUUCUGUGAAAUUGGAGUGGCGAAUAAUAGGGAAAAGUUAUUUGAAACCUAGUGAUUGGAGGCUAUCUAGCUUGCUUUAGAGAGCGAGCACUUGUUAAAGACUUUGUUGUUGCUAAAUCUUACAGCCUAAAUAUUGAACCGCUGACCCUAAUUGGUUUUGGGUUAGGGACUCUAGUUCUAACAUUACAUCAUAGCACAGUAUCCACGUGUCAGGCCAAAUGGCCACAUAUGCUCCCACCCGAUAAAAAUUGAACAGGUGCUAGGCUCAAUAGACACCACUAGUGAGGGGUGUGUUGAGAGUAUCCCACAUUAGAAAAUGGAAACUUUGCAUUAGUGCUUAAAGGAUCUUGGACCUCCGUAGUCAUUGCCAAUUGUUCUUGGGUUGGUCACUCAUAUUCUAACAGACUAUAUGCCAUAGUAUGAGUGGGUAAUCCUUCAGAGAAUAAGUUUUACAUUUCAACCAAUUUAAUUUAGAUUUUAGGUCCGUUGUAAGCAAGUGGCUGAAAUUCACACUCUAGUUAAUUUGGAAUCUAUCAAUGGAGUACAUUGCAACAUUUGUUCUAUAAGAUUACACUGGGUUUAUUUUACUAUUACAUUUGAUUUCCUUUAACAGCCAUUUCACAAUGGUUAGGUAAUGAUCGCGGUGGUAGAAUCAAUGCUAUGCGUACAACAAUAUGUGAUACAUUCCCGGAGCCAAAUCGUCGUUUAUUGCAAAGGUUACUUUUAUGUUGCUAUCAUUAUUUCCGAUUUUUGUUUAGAUCCAAUACCCAAACUACAUUUCACUUGCUUUACCAUCUUGCAUGUAUAUGGUGUCAAGUUAUAUUUGGUAUGAUUUAAUUUGUCUCUUUUCCUGGUUCAGAAUUCUAUUGAUGAUGCAAACUGUGGCUGCGCACAAAGCUGUGAAUCGAAUGAGCUGCUCAGCUGUGGCAGCUUGCAUGGCACCCUUACUUCUUCGUCCACUUCUAGCUGGAGAUUGUGAAGUUGAUAAUGAUUUUGAUAUGGGGGGUGAUGGUUCGGUUCAACUAUUGCAAGCCGCUGCUGCAGCUAAUCAUGCUCAAGCAAUCGUUAUUACUUUGUUGGAGGAGUAUGAUAACAUAUUUGGGGUACGCUCAAACAAGAUUUUUACUUUUAAAAAAUUACUUUUCUAUGAUAACACUUCCUCGUAUUUUUUCACAAGCAAAUUACAUGCAUUCUCGUACACUAGCUUGAGUUAGUAUUGGACUGUGGGAUUCUUCAUUAAUGUUGGUAUCCAAACAAAUAUUUUUUUAGUUUCCAUCAAUUGUCUUAAUUAGCUUGAAGAGUUUACAUUCUUUCGUUGCUUAGUAUCUUUCUCAAUUUAUUUGUUGACAUGGCCCACUCUGGAAUUAUUUCGGAAAAAUAGUUCGGACUUUGAACUCACAUUAUAAGGAGUCCAUCUUCUUAUAAAAUGUUUUCCUUUUUGUUCUAAGGUCUUAUCCAGGUGUUGUCUCCUUGGCAUCAGCCCUUUAAUCUUUUUUUUAAUGCCAUUUUAAGUGAAAUUGGAAUCUAUACCUGCAAUAUGAUGAUCUGUAUUCACUGGUCAUUUUAUAAUGUUAUAAUGUUGUUGAAAAUAUUCAAUAUUUUUCAAGUUGAAAUCAAGUAAUCAAGUUCUUUCUUCACACCUCUGUCAUUGAUUAUUUCACCUUGGGUCUGUACUUUUGAGUUCCAUAAAUACUAGUGCAUUGCAGGAAGGUGAUCUCUCCCCUGAACUAUACAGUGACACCGAAGAGAGUGAAAGUGAGACCGAGGGGGCAUCUGACGAAGGUGAUUACUAUGAUGAUGAAACUGAUGCAGAAACAGAUGAUGAUGUUGAAAUUGUUUCUGAUGGAACAUGCAGUGAGAGUGGCGACUCUGGACACAGUGAUCUGCAUAAUGAUAAGGUUCAUUUCUAUACUUUCUGACUUUAUCAUUAAACUGCACAUAUGUUGUGAUGAUAAAAAGAUCCUAGCCUAGUUAAUCCUUCAAUCCAUUAGUGCCAGACCUUGACAAGACAAUUUCGUUCUUUCAAGUUGGUUAAAUUAAUAUUGGUGCCUCUGCAUAGUUUCCAUUAGCUAUGCAUCCAGCAUUUUGUUCAUCUCUUUUGCUGUUGCUAGUCCAUUGCCAGACAAAUUUGGAAGUUUUCAUAUAUAAUAAUAUAUUUACUGUUUGCUAUGUUUAUGUCCCCAAGCUCUUUUGUCUUAUGAUUUGAUCCUAAUACCCAAACUAAAACAGUCUUACUUGGCCACUUCUUUAGGCUUUUCACCCGCUUCAACAAAUUGUACUAUGUUGUGUCCCUGUGACUCUAGUUUCUGCAUGGUUGCUGUGAUGGUGUGACUCUAGUUUCCGCAUGGUUGCUGUGAUGUUUUUUUACCUUCUGAUCUCAUGAAUGGAUUCUAUUUUCAUUUUGUUAGGGAUUUUGUUUGCUCAAGAAACUAUAAGAGAUGGAAAAUUUGGUUACACCAUGUAUACUAAAUGCUUUAAGGGUGCAGGAUGGUGAUGAUUUUAGCUCAGGUUCCAAGUCCCUUGAUGGAGAUGAUAAUAUUAAAGCUCAGAAGUUGUCGUCAAGCUCACUUAAAACUUUGCAGCCUCAACAUGAUGUGCAAAAGAAUGAGAAUGAACUGGUUUCAAGUAAAAAUAAUUCGGCAGAGCUGGCUAAUGAGUCUGCUGUAGUAGGAGAUGUUUCUAGAGAAACAAGUUCUGUGCAGCAGCCAAUUGUUCAUGGUCUUCCAUCCAUCCAAAAAUCUUCAACUAUAUCCAAUGGACCUGCACUUGGUACAAGAGGUCGUACUGCUUGGGGACGUACCGCUGUAAGUAUAUGUUUUCUGGAGUGGUAAUAUGAUGCCUUGCUUGUUAGGCCUUUCUAUGACUAUUUAUAUUUUUCUAGAUUAGGUUAUCCAAGAAAGGACUUUGAAUUAUUCCAUACACCCUAUCCAUUUUCUACUUUUGCAUGUGUAUGAUCCUAAUCUAGUGACUGUAUUCAGAGGUUUUUUGUUUAUUGGUUUUUUCUUUUUUGGGGGGUGGGGGGAUUUUGAGUCCAGGCAAAGAAGAACCUUUCAAUGGAAUCCAUCGAUUACAGCCUUGAGGAGGAGUAAGUGAUGCAUAUUUCAUAUCUGUAGAACUACUUUCCUCGUAUAAACUUGCAUAUAAUUUUUUUUUUUUGUCGUCCUUGUAUCUUUUUUAGUGUCAGCGGAUGCCCUCUGUCACAUGCUUGAUGUUAUUUCUGGAAGUGGAGCUAUCAAUAUAUAGAACACAUGAUUUUGAUCAUGUGGCACAUGACCCCAACAUCAAUAUUACUUUUUUGCUAAAGGCAUUAGUGAUUUACUUACUCUUGAUGUACCAUUAGUGUUGCCAUUUAGGAUGCAGUGAUUUUUACAUUAUUACUUAUAACUACUAACUACCAGCUAUUUGACUAACAGGAAAAUAUGUCUGUAGCAAAGUUGUAACUUUAAAAAUCUUCAGCUCUUUCAAUUCGAUUAAUUAUUUCUAACAGCUAGUUUUCUUCCUGUAUGAAGGGAUGAAAUCCAGAUGCUUGAGAUUACUAAAUCGGAGUUGGAAAACAGAAUUGCAGAAGAGGUGUAUUUCUCUUUCCAGUUACCUUGUAUCAAGUUAUUUGGAAUUUUCUAUAUUUAAGUCAUUCGUUUCCUUUACAGGUUCAAGGGAAUGCAGCUCUGCAAGCAAGUUUGGAAAGACAGAAGACAGCCUUGCGUGAGCGUCGUCUAGCUCUCGAGCAAGAUGUAAGUUUCAUAGGGGAGAAUAUAUUUUCUGGUUUUUCUAAUAGUUCCUUUUCUUUACUUUAUUUUCCCUGUCUUUCACAUAUUGAACUUUUAAUUUUUUGUACAGGCAAGGAAGUUUUAAAUGCUUCUUUAUCCAUAGAAUCUAAUGCUUAUUAAGUAAUUAGUUUCUAUUGAAUGGUUGAGAUCUUCAGUGGUAACUAGCCAUGAUGAUGAAGCUAAUAAUAUACUGUUAUUGGACAUUAAACGUAUUCGCAGGUGGCAAGGCUACAGGAAGAGUUACAGAAGGAGAGGGAUUUAACAGCAGCUCUUGAAGCAGGACUUCAUAUUUCUGGAGGAUGUGUACCCAAUUUAUCCACUGUUGAUGAAAAAGUUAGUCUUCUGUCCUUUAACUGGUAUGGCAUAAGAUCUUUCAUGAUUCACCAAAUGGUUAACUUGCGUAUGUGCUAUAGACAAGGGCAGAGCUUCAUGAAAUAGCUCAGGCAGAGGCAAAUGUUGCCAACUUGAAGAAGAAGGUUGAUGAUCUAGGUGUACAGCUUAACCAACAACGAGAGCGAAACCAUGGCUCUAUGGCUGAUGCAUCCACUUUGUCCCAACACAAUCGGGAUCUUCAUGCAAAACCGUAAGAUCUUUAGUUAAUUGGUGGUCCUUUCUUGUUGGAUCACCCUGUCUUCUAUGUAGUCAUCCUUGGGUAACUUAGCUGCACUUUCUUUUCCCCUUUUUUGUGUCUUGUUUUUAGGAACACGAUGGAUAAAAAACAGGACAGUGAAGCCAUAGCCCCUUCACGUGAUGAAUCAUCAAGAAGUAAGGUAGAUAUAUUUUGACAUUUGAGAUAUCUUCAUGAACAAAGGUCACUGCUUGACUUUAAGUUACACACUUUUUUAACCUCAAAGAGAAGAUAGAUUAAGAGAAGAACAAAUGAUAACUGAUUGCCUAAUAUUUUUUAACCUAAAAGUGAAGCAGACUGAUUUAUUUCAAGAACAAUAAUAUGAACCGACAAAACUUGCUCAGAGAAUGUGUUUGGCUCUGAAGAGCUGUAGUUACAAGUUACAACAUCAAUGGUUGCUUCUAUUUUAACUUGGCUUGGUACUGCUCAAGCUUGACUUCUAGAUCAAAAGUGGACUAUGUUUAAGCUAAAUGGAGCCUAAUCUUUGAGCGAGCAGUUUGUGCAAAAGUGGAUUAAGUAUAAGUAGUAACUGCGUUUAAACCAAUUUAUGGGCAUGGUUCAACAGGAUACUCAAACAGAUGGAGCAGAAAAACAUAGAAGCAACUAUCGGUCGGUUGUGUUGCCAACCGAUUCUUGUGCUGUAGAGCCAAUGGGGCCUAAGCCUAGUGCUCCAAGCAACUCCAAGAAAAGUGGUACAGGGGGUGAGGUAGGAUUCGUCCUAUUUUGCUUUGGCUCCGGUUUGUUUUGUUCUAGUUCAAUAGAACUGUAACCAAUGGCUCUAUUAAAUAUUUGAAGAUUCGUUUUUCAUGCGUAUACCGCAUCUUGCCAGAUUGCCCGAUGAUGAUUUUUAUUAAGGUUUCUUUGCUCUCUUUUUUUUUGGGUAGGAUGACAAUACCAAUUAAAUAGACUAAAAAAUCAUCCAAUUUCUACUUUCUGCUUACUUGCUGCUUUGGAUUUUACUCAUGUUUCUGCUGGAUGAGCUUAUUUAUUUCUCUGACUAGAUAGAAGGCUAGAAAUAGUUACAUCCCUCUUUGCCUGUGCAUAACAGGGCGGCACAACUUCAGCAAUAACAAAGUUGACGUCGCGACUGAAUUUUUUGAAGGAGCGGAGAAGCCAAAUAGCAAAUGAAAUUCAAGGCCGAGGUUCAGGUCAACCUGCCCAAAAUUUGGAUAAAAAUCAAUCAAUCCAAUACUCAGACAAGAGCUUGGAAACCACAGAAAAGCCAGAGAAGCUUAGAAAAGGAGAGAGUCAUUCGUACGCAGAGAGAGGCAGAAAAUCAGAAAGCCAACAGCAGCAUGGCCUGGACAGAGGAAAAUCAGAAAGCCAUCUGUCCGUUAGCGUGGAGAAAGGUCGAAUCGUAGAGAGUAAAACUUUCGGUUCUCCAAGGGCGGACUCUAGAUCAUAGCAAAUGUUUAUAUGUUCUCUUAAGGCUCAAGGGCAGUUUUUUUGGCAAAUGGGAUCUUCUUAUUUCAUAGAAGAAGAAAAAUAUUGCUGCUAGACAUGGACCAAAUUGUGCAGAGUAGAGUGAGGAAGUUCAUUGAAUAGGUUUUGGUUUUUUUUUUUAUUGAGCAUUUGAUGCCUAUAUCAAAAUAGCUGCUCAAGUCCAUGCACCCCCCUAAAGCCCUCUAAUGCUCAGGAUGUACAGAUAUGAAGCAUCUCCUUGAUGUAAAACUGAAUUAUUUGCAACCCCAAACUGUUCAUUUAUGCUGCCACAGAGACAGCAGAAUUGCCCAGUUAUUUGUGUGCGUUGUGUAAUUUCCAUUCCAGUUGCUUAGUCUAUGCUUAUAAAUUUUUAAUUUUAAUGGACAUGAUCAAAGUUCAAUUCCCACAUCACCGGACCAUAAACUCAUUUGAGUGGAACUCAACUUUUCCACUCAAUUGCAUGAUGACUUUUUCAAAGUGUCAUACGAGAACUAUCAAAUCUUAUUCUUUAUGUCAAAGUGUUGUUAAAAGAACCAAUUUUGAUUUUGUUGAUGUAUUGUGCUACUCACUUGUUAAUUACCUGUUGAGAUUCCAUUAAAUCAUUAACUGGGUUUAUAAAUUACUUGAAAAUUUAUUGAAUUGUCCAAACGAAAAAUAGAAAAUUGCAUUAAUCAAUCAUAGUAAUAAUUAUUAUUUUUUCAUCGUCCUCUUUGGGUUGGAAAACUCAAAAAUCCUUGAGAACCUUCCGGAGCUGUUCAAGCGUCACAAACAGCACCACAGUGAAGGGCCCCUGCCUAGAAAUCGUAGGGAUGAAGCCCUUGUAGAGGGCCAUGGGCCCCUCAGCCCUCACAGUCUUCAAGGCACAAUCCAGGGCCCCACUAUAAGGAGGUUCCCGCCCGGGCUCCACCUUCAUGUUCAUCACCCUUGUCUUGAUCACGUCGAUGGGGUUCGACGCCACGGAGGCCACAAACCCAGCCGCGAAACUCGCCGUCACGUGGGUACCGAGGCCGUCCUUCAUCAAGUGCCUGUCGAGGAUCGCCUCCUUGAUCUGAUCGUACGACGCCAGCUGAGACGCCGUCACGAUCAUCGCGCGGUUCACCGUGAGGCUGGACCCGCGCCACAGGCUAACAAUCCCUUCGCUCCUCGCCAUCUUCGUGAUCGCGUCCACCACGUUCUUGUAGUCGCGGCCGCCAGCCUGCAUCCGGACCAUGGCCACGUCGGCUGGGUUGCCGACGGCGGCGCCGACUCCGCCGGCGACGAGCCCGGCGAGGAUUUUCCUGGUCAGGGGGAGGUUUCCGGUGUUUGGGUCGGCCCACUGGACUUUCAGGGCUUCGUAGAGGCCCAUGCGGGUGGUGGAGUAGAGAGUCUGGCGAAGGACGGUGGCGGAGACGCCGGAGUAUAGGGCGGCGAUGCCUUCCGUCCGCACGAUGCGAACUCCGACCGAGAUGGGCCCCGCGCGUGCCGGCGGGGCCGGCGGUGGUGGUGGUGGGCCCACCAGAGUGGCAGAGUGGGAAUUAAAGGCAAAAGCGGGGCGGAGAUUGUGGACGGGCUGUGGGGCCCGAGCGGCGGCGCUGUUGCUCUCACCCUGGAGCUGCAUGCGGACCUUGAUGAGAUCAAGCGGGUGGGUGGAGCAGCCUGCAACAAUGGAAGCUAAGCCUCCCUCAACGAAACCUUUGACACCCAUUUCUUGAAGUGAGAAUCAAAGGUCGAACUUUUGUUCUUCUGGGUUGUUAGAAAAUUGAAAGAAUGAAAGAAUGAGGUUAAACAGAGGAGCAAAAUUGGAGAGAAGGAAAUGGGAAGAGGGAGAUUAGGGUUAGGACCAAGAGGAGGCAGGGUUCAUUUCACUGGAGAUGCGGAGGUGAGAAUGAAGGGCAAAGGCUAUGGAGGAAGAGUGAGGGACGUUGGGCCUCUGAGACAUAAGCAUCUGCUGCCAAAUGGGUUUGUGUUUGGGGUUUCAGUUGUAAGUUGAGGCUGAGAGAGCUGAGGAGGGUAUAUAUAUAUAUAUAUAUACAUACACACAGAGAGUAAGUAAGGUAUUGAAGAAGAAGAGAAAGUGGAGGGAAGAAGCAGAUGCAAGAUGCGCCGCGCAGUUGGCUGGCUCUCUCCAACGCGCUUGGGUUUUGAUGACAGGGACCCUUUCCUUUCCUUUAGGUUGCUGCCCUAACAAGACCACGAAAAUUUCAUUUCAUUUCUUUUUAUGAAAUCAUAUUAAAUAUAAUUUCCUUUUGUGUGUUGGCUAGCUUUUACUAGGCUUGAGCUUGACUUGUACGCUUAAUAACCCUAGACAGCCGUCAGCCUGCUGCCUCCCCAAUGUUCUAGGAGGCGGGUCUUUGAAACGUUGAAAAUUCUACACGUUAUUGAUUUGAAUAUUGAAAAUUCCAUGGCUUCCGGACGGGUUUUUGCAGGCAUCUACUACGCGUUAAACUUAUUCUUUAUAUUCUCAUUAUAGGAAAAAUGAUCCCUCUUCAAGCGAGAUUUAAGCUCAGAAUUAUAAUUUGAUUAAUGAAAAUUAGUAAUUAUAUGCAUAGAGAUUCUUUCAUGAAUAUUUAUUAUGUUGCUUGUAUUUCAUUUUACACAUGGGUCGGAUUAUAAACUCGGGUUGGGAAUUCAUGUUUUAGUAUUCACUAUAAUUAGGGCAAACCUCUACCUCAAUUCUAGUCCGUUUGAUUUAAUGUGUCAAGAUCCAACUCAUACUCUCUUUUUUAGAAUAUACAAAUAAUAGUUGAAAUUAAUUUAAUCUAUAAAGAGGGCGAUUAAUCUAAUCUUAGUGUCUUGACUAACUGACCUAACUCACAUUUUCGGGGACUCAUACUUUACUUUUAGGUCUUCUUUUAAGCAUCAUUUCUAUAUGUCAACCCAAUUGAAAAUAUUUACUCACUUUGCUUUAUCACUACUUUAGUGUUUGUUGAAAACACUAUAAUCAUCUAAGUCACAACUAUUAAAAGUAUAUCGUUUGUCAAGCCUUUAAUAUGGGCAUAAACAAAUAAAUGUUCAAAUAAUGAGAUUAUGAGAUUAUGAUUAAUUUUCUAUUUAUAUUGCUUUCCCGAGUUGCUUUGAUAGUCAAUUGCUCACGGCAUCACUAUCAAAGUAUACUUUGAUUUUCAAAGAGGAAAACUUUGGUCCAUUUGGGUGUGGAAAAAUUAAUAUGGAAAAUCAUAUGGUCUCAUCUCAGGAGUGUUUGGUGUGAAGAAAUGAUCCUAGUUCACAUUAAAUUCAACCAUUUUGAGAAAAUAAUAAUUGAUUAUGCGUGCCUUAAGCAAAAGAAUUAAACCCAUAAUUGAUCUCUAAUGAUGGGUUUUUUUUUUCUUUUUUUCUCAAAGGGGAUGAACAUGAACAUGCAUAACAAAGAGAGUGAAGCAUCUUCCACACCAGCCUCAGCUUCAAAAGCACUCCAGGACUCACAGUCAAUUCUCAAUUGUGUGUGGAGGAGAAGAGAACCCUCCACAAAAAUCUAGUGGUUUUCUUCUUUGCCCACUUGAGAGAAUAUUACACAGAUAUUGAAUAUGUGCCCUUUUAUUCAUUUCUUUUUAUUCUCACUUGAUCAACUCAAAAUUCCCUUGGCCAUGCUAAAGUUUUGAGGUCAUCAAUGAGAAAUGUCAAAUAAAAAGUAGCCACAAAUGAAUGAGCAAAUGACAUCCACCACCAAAAAGAUUUCAAGGAAUUUAAUUUUUGUGGUUGACCAAUAAAUAUAUAGCAUAAUCAUAUCUCAUCAGAAUUUGGGUGGAUCCAAUUGAAUUGAAGCUCCAUGUGGGAAAGGGAAAGAAACUAGGCUGGGGAGGUAGGAACUGAGGAAGCCUAGCCACUAAUUCUGGAUCUAAUUUUCUCUUUUCCAUUUUUUUCCCAUUUCCCAUUUCCCAUUUCCCAAUGAAUUGCCACUAAUUGUGGACCUAAUUUUGGGCUUUCAAUUUGUUUGUCUCCAUUUGGCAAUGAACUUUCGAACUAUUUGUAUCGGUUUGAACUUUCAAGUGUGAAAAUUGAUAUGCUGUGGUUUGUGGAAUUAACAUAUCUUCAAUGUGGGGCCCAGGGAAAAAAAUUGAUAAAAAUAAUCGACGCCUGAGAGAUUCGAACUCUCGCGGGGAAACCCCAUGUACUUAGCAGGCACACGCCUUAACCACUCGGCCAAAGCGUCGUUGUUGUUAGGGAUUGCUGUUCAAUUCUAUAUAUGUAAACCGUGGACUAUAUUGGAUUACUGAACUAGAACAAGCCCAAUGAUAUUGGGAGUGAAAUUGGAUUUUUAGACCAAAAUAAGUAGUUAAAAUGUCAAAAGGUUUGUCAUCAUGCGGGCGAAAAGGAGAGGGAAGGAAAAUAAUAAAUGGGUUCUUUAGUAAAAACACACAUAGAAAGAAAUGUGAGGGCCAAAAUGCCCAAUAUAAAGUUAUGGCUUUUUAUCAUAAAUGGUCCUUAACGUUUACAAAAUUAUCACGCAUAGUCUUUGAGGUUUUUUUGUGACAUUAAUAGUCCUUAACGUUAUAACUUUUUAUCACAAAUGGUCUCUGCCGUUAGAAAUUCUGUUAAGUGUAUGAUGUGGAAGAUAAGUGGAGUCCACAUAUCCAAUCACACUGUGACAUGUGGAUGAAAAAUAAAUAAAUAAAUGAUUUUUUUAAAAUAAAAAUUCUAUUUUGUUUCCGCCUAGCACUUCCAAUGUCAAACUAUACAGAAAUUCAUUCUUUGCUAGCAAACUAGGUAGUGAUAAUGGCCGAAAUUGUUCUCUUUCAAAGUCGAAAGAUUGUAUAACCUGGGAACUUGUACUUCUACCACCAUAGGGAAUCCAAUGAACAGCUCCAUGAAGAAAAUUAUUGAACAAUAAGUUAUUAAAAUCCCCAGGAGGAGGGGGUCCAAUGCUUCUCCAUGCUCCUCCUGCGCCAAUGGUGUAAAUCUCAGCCUCAGUGUCCGGGUUGUUCAACUGAAACACCUUGUACACAUUGGUCCCAAUGCAAAAACCAAGUCCAACAAUAAGCCACUUGUCGUUUCUAUUAGCAAGUGGAAUGGUGAUGUACUCCUCCAAAACAGGGUUGCACACAAACAGGGGAAAGCCUUCAUUAGCUCCAAAACAAAGCAGACCAUUACAUGAGUUUAUUAAGCGAAAUUCUGGCAUGGUGGUGUCAACUGGCUGUAGAAUAUUUUCGGGAGAAAACGUUAUUUCCUCGAGUUGCAAUCUGAACCAGGAGCAACACAUGCUUCUACUUCCAGAUGGUAAAAUAAAGUUCCAUUGGUUUUGUUAGAGGGGGAGGGAGGAAGGUCUCAAUCAAGAUGCCAAAGGGUGAUCUUGAAGCAUGGGGAUGAGUAAACUGAGGGUCAGAGAUUAUAAAAAGCCACGCCUUGCACACGCACCUGCAGUUGAAGAGGGUCUUGACAGAGAGCCUUAAGAGGAUGUCCAUGACUAUACCCUGCCUGUGGAAGUUGCAGGUAUCUUUGGGGCGGAGAGAGAGAGAGGGCAGAGGGAAAGAGAGAGAGAGAGAGAGGCUAAAUGGAUUUUCAUUAAAAAAAUAUUUAUUUAUUUAUUUGAUCCACAUGUCACUAUGUGAUUGGACAUAUGGGCUCCACUUAUCUUCCACAUCAUACACUUAACAGAAUUUCUAACGGCAGGGACCAUUUGUGAUAAAAAUCCCUAACGUUAAGGACUAUUAAUGUCACAAAAAAACCUUAAGGACCAUUUGUGAUAAUUUUGUAAACGUUAAGGACCAUUUGUGAUAAAAAGCCUAAAGUUAUUACAAUGAAUUUAGCAAAUAUGGAUCCAAUCACCAGCAGCUGCCGACACAACCAACUUGGCAACUUGGAUUUAGUUUGUUUGAUCUCAUGGACUUGGUCCUUGAUGCAAUCACUAUUCCAUUGGAUUGAACAUUGGCCCGGCAACUUGCUUCUGAUUUUGCAAGUUACUCCACCCACCCAACCGACUUACAAAGUCAAGCAUUAUCUCUUUCAUCUCUUUUUUCACCUCAUUCCACAUAUUCCACAUGUUCUGUAUUCUUCAUUUAUAUUUUACCUUGAUCACAUUCUUGUAGUAAUUUCAGACUAUUUUAGCUCACGCAUGUCGUGUGUGUGAUAUAUUUAUCAUUUAUUUAUGAAAUUCUUAAAUGUGUAUUGCUUAAUUUAACCCCAAACCAGCCAACUUGGUAUAUAUUUGUCACCGUGUAUGAAGAGGCUAGCUACUGCAUUUACAUAUAUAAAUCCACAAUUUCUGAUGAGUGAGUUAGGGUUGGAUUUACAAGCUUUAUGGGUCAAGUUAAGAGUACAUCAAAUAUGAAAAUUUAAAAUGACGUUUUAACGUGUUAAGCAAACAUACACUAAUUAUCAUUGGGCCCUAUUUGAUUUAUGAGGAAAUCAAUUGUUUUCCCAUGUUUGAUAAUUCCAGUCAUGAGAAAUCGUUGCCUUGCCCAUGGGAAAGUAGGAGGGAAAGUAAAGCUCUCCUCCUCCUUGGGUUUUGUUUUCCUCACAAUGGGAAAGUUUGAGAAAAUGAGCCAACAUUAAAUACACAUUUUUUAUUAUUAUAUUAUCCUCAUUAACAAUUUAGAAUUAAAGUAUCAAUGGCAUGUUUACUAAUCCGUAAGAGGAAUUGAAUUGAGGAGGAGUUGGAUUGAUGAUGAUUAGAUUUCGGAUUCCUAUAGAAGUUGUUUAAUAAACCAUAUAGAAUUGGGGUAGGAGUAGUACUAAUUACUGAAAUGUCUUCGUUGUUAGGUUAAAAUGGAUGACAAAUUUAGAAUUUUAAAAAUUGUGGGAGAAUAUAAUGAGUAAAAAAUAUGAAUUCUUAAUGGGUUAGUUCUCCAAGAAUUAGAAUACCACCUCCCACCCAAGAAUUGAAUUCCUCCAAAAUCAAGAAUUCAAUUCCUAAUUUUGUGUGGGCUCCACUUACUUUUCAAUUCCUUGAUAUGAAGUAAACGCAGAAAUCCUCCAUAAGUGGAAUUCAUUCCUGAUGAGAAUUCUAAUUCUAAAUGCAUUUUUUUUUCAUUUCAUAUGGAUAUAAUUGAAAAAUUAAACAAACUUUAUUUUACAUUCCUGUACAAACCAAACAUGUGAAAGGAAAUAAUGUGGUAUUUCUUGGUUACUUUCUCAGGAUUACCAAACAUAAGAAAUGAAUCUCCAUUUCCCAUUCCUUGAGAAAUGAUAUGGGAAGUGAUUUCCUCUCAAAUCCGUUCCAUGAACCAAAUGGAGCCUUGGGGUGUUAGUUAUAUUGGUCUAGACUUUUGGUAUGCGCCCAAGUGGUCCUGGGCCAAAAAAAAGAACAUAGAUAAAAUUGUGGCCUUCGGUUUCCUCACUAGUGUGUGUGUGUGAGUUUUCUCCCCUUCCCCCUUCUUAACGUUGGCAAAAAAAUACAUAGAUGGAAUUCCUUGUAAGAUAAUUAAUAAGUCUCAAAUAAUAUCUUUAGAAUUUUAUUGACAAUUAAAUAAGUUCAAUGUGUUUGUGGGUAGGUCGUAUCGUAACUAAUUAAAUUGUUAAAUCUUUUGUAGCUUAAUUAGAGAUUCGAUUUGGUCUAUUAAAAUAAAUUUUAAAAAUAAAGAAGACAUUAUGUUUGCUAUGGUCGGGAUUAGAUCAUCAUAACCUUUCAACCUCAUUUCAAAAAUAUAAUUCAAUGAUUGGGAGCCAGAACAUUAUAGCCAAAAGAAUUAGAUGAAUGAAGGAAUAUUCAAAGACGUGGCUACCACAAAAUUGUAACUUUGACUUAUACGACAAAGAUUUAUAUAUGUACUAGCCUCUCUGCACGCGCUUCUGCGCCUGCGAGAGGCUUUUUUUAAAAAAAUUUAAAUUUAUUAAGAUAAUGGAUAGUUGUGUUCCAUAAAAAUAGGAUCCAUUAUUUGAAUUUUCUUUUAAUUUUAAUUUUUUUAAUAUGAAAAAUUGUGAACUUACCAUAUUAUCCUCAUUUAAUUAAUAAUUUAAAUUCUUAAUGUUUGCAUUAACCAAGGACAUUUUCUGGUAUUUUGAAUGUUUCACCAUUUUCUGCCUUUUGCUUUAUAUAUAUAGAUACACCAACAUUCAUAAUUUCAUACGGGAUAUUCUUUUUUGGGUUUUGUAGAGAAUGUGGUACCGACCUUCGAACCCAAGACUACUAAGAGUUAGUGCAAGCGAACUUAAUCACAAGGGCAGGUUGAAGGCCAGUAUACGGGAUGUUCAGCGUACAUGUAACAUGCCUAACUUGAAAAGAAAAAAAAAAAAAAAAAAGAAGAAGAAGAAGAAAACAACAACCAUGCCUAACAAGAAAAUCUUGGGUGGGAGCUUACGGAGACUUUGAUACUUUUCGGUCUGGAUAAACUUCCAUUUUGGUUAUAUUUGCUAGUUUUUACUGUACUUUUGGUUUUAUAAUUUCCAAAAAUGAUCAUAAUGUUGGAAAAAACUGUGAUGUGCAAAGUUUUUUACUAUCUAUUGGAUUGGAUUUACUCUUGUUUUGAGCUAUUCAUCGUUCAUUCGAAAAAUUAUUGUGUAUGACAGUAACAUGUGCACUAGCUAGGUUGGUAUUAAUUUAGUUAGGGUUUAAACAUUAAUAAAUUAAAAUGAGUCGACAUACUUAUUUCACACCCAAAAUUUUUUCUAAUAAUUGAGAAUUAACUAACAAGUAGACGAUUGAAUCAUGACAUAUUAGUGUGAUAUUAACAUAUUUUAAACAGGUUUAGUCAAACUACUUAAGAGGAGAUUGAGAUGAAGGAAAUAUAUGUGGGCAUCACAAGUUACUAUAUCCCAAUUAAUAAGUAUUUGUAAACAGUAAGUUGUGUUCCUAUUGACCAUAAAUUAUGGAAUUCAAUUUAUUCAACGUUCAGCCGCGUAAAGUCACGAAAACUCCACCCAAUAUUAAUUUCAAACGAGCUAGUUGAUCUUUGACUGAGCUAAGAUAGAUUAUUAACUUACCAAGCUCAAAAUUAUUAGGGCUCAUUUGGGAGUGAUUUUAAAUAAGCUGAUAAUCAUUUUAUGAAGAAUUACUUCUCCAUAUUAUCACUUUUAGUGAUUUUAUAGAAAAACACAUAAGAGGUGCUUCUCCCCAGAAUAACUUUAAAUCACUAUAAGUGAUUAUGUAGAGAUACACGUAGGAGAUGCUUCUUCCCAGAAGUGAUUCCAGCGCUUCCUAAAUCACUUCCAAAUGAGCCCUUGGUCAAUUUGGAUCCCAGAAGAAAGAAACUAUACAAUUUAUUAGAAGUUCAUAAUGAACUCACACAUUAAUUUCCAAUUAGAAGAGAUAAAUGCUUCCACAUUUUACAAGAAGAGAGCAAGCAAAUCUGAAUAUGCCUCCUCAAACAAUGUCAUCAAAAUGCGAAAAUUACAGACAACAAUUUUUUUUAACAAGUUACUCAAAUUAAUCCACCAGUGUAAGGCACACCAGUCGCAGCCAACCAAUUAUCCCCCAUCAAGAAGUUGGUCACUGUAAAAUUAGCAGCAACGGUUGAAUUGAUCACAUGGUAGCCAGGCCAUGUAACCCUAUUUGUAGUGUUGGAUCCAGGGCCUGUGUUAUUGUACUCAGCAUAAUACAAUGUGCUCAGAGCAAAAUCUCCACUCCAUGCAAGCCAGCCAGCAGGAUCAAUCAAACUAGCCAUGAAAGUUUGCAUGUAAACUGUCCUUGAAUAUUCCUUCCAUGGCCUCCCCAGAUAGGUCUUGACAGUGAAAUUACUCGAAGCCAAAUCCGGCGUCGGUUUGAUAGUGCAGUUGUGGAUUGAAGUCCCCGUGUUCUGAUUCGGGUCGGUUCGACCUUGAGCUGUGAUGGCAUUGGACUGCCCUUUGUUUGGCUGACGAGGAUAUAGGUUGCAAUUUUGGAAAACAACUGCUGCAUUGCCGAAUAUGAAGUCAACUGUUCCAUAGAUAUCACAUUCUCUGUAGAAUUGUCUGAGAGAAUGUGUGUAUAAGGUGUCUUGGUAGCCUUCAAAACUGCAGCUAUAGAAAACUGACAAAUCUGCCCCGCUUCGGAGUGCAACUGCCUGCCCUUUGCUUGGUCCGGCCGUGUUACGAACAGUAAUGUUCACUGCUACAAACCCUAGUCCUGUGACAGCUGCAUUGACCAAGAAGCUAAUUAGCUUACAGUUAAUCAUUUACAAAAUGUUUGUGAGUUUAAACAUUGUAUAAUAGUUUUUAGUUCAAAUGUCAUAAUCUGGCAAGUUAUGUUAUUAGACUGUGAAUUAAGAAUAUUUAUUAACUCACCUAAAGUGGCAGAGUUGAAAGUUGUCGAGCCAUCUCCUACGCUGUUGUUUCCAGUGAUGAUUGUCUGGUUGAUACCGUCUCCGAUCAUCAACAAGUACUUCUUGUUUGAUGCAAUUGACACAUACUCUUGAUAAACACCAGCAGUGACAUAUAUCAAGAAGUAGCCACCACUUGCAACGGAGUUGUUUGGUGCAGCAGCAAUGGCAGCAUUGAUGGUGGUAAAAUUUCCACUUCCAUCUUGACUCACAACCACAAUGCCCUUAACCAAAACCUCUUCAUCUCCUACCUGAAGAAGUCUUCUUCUCCGAUGAUUGAUAGCGGCGUCAUAAAUUGCACGAGCUUGGCUUGACAUCUUCAGGUUCAAGCGUCCCUUCCCAAAUUGGAGAUGCCUCUUGGGUUGCUUUGGCACUCCAUUUUUGUCCUUAGGCACCCAACCCUUAGUAAACAGAGCCAAAGAGACACUGUACAAUUGUGAGUUGUUAGAGAUUGAGGCAGAGAGAUCAUUGAUGAGACUCCCAGCUGAAGAAGGCAGAGAUUCGAGGCCAUCGGAACAAGUUUGUUGGUUGGUUAAAAUGGCACUAAGCAAUGUUUGGACAUCAUCAGCAUCCAAGCUAGCAAGAACACCACUUGUCUUGUUGACAGUUUCAAGGGAGCUUGAUAAGAAAUCAAUGUUCAACAAUGUAAGCAACUUGCAAUCCUCAAGUGCUUGGAUUGCAGGCUGUGGCAAGACUGAGCCAAGUUGAAGAUGAUUUUCAAUCGAAUCGAAGAGAUUAUGGGAUUGGGAAAGUGCAUGCUGGACAGAAAACCUGCCAAAGUCAUAGACAUUGGCAUUUUUGUGGGGAAGGACAGAUAUGCAAUAGGAAGGGUGUGGAGUGGACUUGCAAAUUGUUUCUGGUGGGAGAGGAGUGUCUAGAGGGACAUCUGCUAAAGAUGGGGAGCUAAGGGAAUGGAAGAUUAUGAGAAAUGAUGAAAAUGUUGCAAGAGAAAAAAGCUUAGAAGCCAUUGCUAUAGCUAGAGAGAGUUUUGAGGAAUGUGUAAUUGGUCAUGGGUCUACAUCUACAUAUAUAGUGAAGAGGAAGUAAUUUAAUAAUAAUAUUAUUAUUAUUGUAUUUGGAAGUGCAUGACUUUAUCCAAAGCUCAAUGUUAGCUCUUCAGUUUGCUUCUUCUUUUUUUUUCUUUUUCUUUUUGUAGGCUUAUUUGAUUGCUUCUUGACUAGAUAUAUAAUUGAGGAAAGAGAGAGGAAGUUAGUAGGUGUCACGUAGAUGUUAAGUAGUGUCGGAUGAUCCACUUGAUUAAUUAGGUUUAUUAAUGAACUUGUAUUCCUACCCUAUUGACAUUUUCUCAACCAUAUAUUCUUAUAUGUUUAAACCUACAAACACAAAUAUAUGUUUAUAAUGAUACUUGUACGAAGCUUAAUUCUCCCUAUUUUGUCUUAUUAUCCAGAGAUUUAAGAGUGAUCUUGAAAAAGAUAAUUUCUAUUGAAUCAAAAUGAAAAUAACCUAUAAUUCGCUAUAUAUAUAUAUAUGCGAUUGGGUUUUAGUCUCUGUAAAAAAUACAACUAACAUUAUCGUGAGAGUAAUGUGAUAUAUAAGAGAAAUACCACUAAAUUGCAAGAGCUAUUUGGUGCAUUGCAAUGUGAUAGAGUUAACAUUCCUCUAAUGUAGAUCCAAUGCACUUAGAUAGGGAUUAAGUUUAGGCUUUUUAAACGUACACAUAAUAUAAUCAACAUUCUAGAUGAUGUAAACCCCUCAUUUCAUGGAUGUUUUUGGUUUACGAACUUUUAAAGGACAAUUAGGCGAAGGUCAUUGAUAUGUGUUAGGGCACAAAAAGACACACAUGCAUACCCCCGAAAUAUUGUAAAGGUGAAGAAAAUUAAGCCUAUAACAUGCACAUUGCAAAGUUGUUAAUUUCUUUGAUUAAUGUGUGAGAUGCUGUAACCAAAAUGAGCAUUUAGCCAAUAUAAAUAUUUAAUUAUUAGACCUAGCUACCACAUGGAAAUAUGAUAUAAUUAACCACAUAUUGGUCGUGCAUUAGUGGUAUAUAUUUGUGCAUUAAUUAGGCUUAAGCGCGUAGUACGAAUACCAUAUGGUAAGGAUAUAUAUAUAUAUAUAUAUAUGAGAAAAAUAGAUUUCAUUAAAAACCCAAUAAACAAUAUAAAGUAACCGGCAUGUUAGUUAUUACUGACAUUCUAAAAGAGUUAUCAUGCAAUUUGAAGUGUAAUUUUCUCUCUUACAUAUAUUUUUACAAGGGAUAAAUGUUUAAUGACAGUUCCCUAUGUACAUAGAUACAAAGCUAUUAUUGCCGUCUCUUAUACUCUAUUGGAGUGCCAAUAACAGUACCUUUGUACAUAUAUAUACAACGUAUAAACCCAAUACCCUAACUUGACUGAAACUCAAAGCUACAGUAACUUACAAACCAACCCAGUAAUUUGACUGAAACUCAAAGCCCCCCAAUAAGCAUGUGAUUUUGUGAGAUUAAUAAGUCUCUUUUUGAGCAAGUUGGGUUGCAUGAGAAAAGGUCAGAGAAGCAAUUAAGUACAGCUGCUUCAAGCUCAUUUGGAUUUUCAUGUGCUUCAGAAAGGAAAGACUUUUAAUCUCUUAAUAUUUAAUUCCACUUGUCACGAACUAUUAACCAAGUAGACUAAGAAAUUGAUGAACUAUGCAUGAGUCAGAGAGAUUAUAUAAAUGAUGAGCAUGAUGAGUACGUAACCUAAUCAAGCAAAGUCAAACUAGAAGAGCUCCUAUCGACUGAAAACUUCGGAGUCAAUGUGUGCUAAAAACGUUAGCCAAAUGUACACAAAAUGCAUAUUUGGAGCUUUGCUAAGCCUUUGAUUUGGUCAUGCAAAGAUUGCAUACAUGUGAAGGAAAAUCAAGAAUAUAUGGAACCGUUUGAAUUUUGAUAAAUUGACGAAGACAUAUUAAUGAAAAAGUUUUUCUUUUGUUUUAAUUUUUUGGUCAGAUUAAAACAUUCUUACUUGCUUCAUACACAUUAACCACCAAAUAAAACUGCUUAAUUAAGUCAAAAUCUAUUAUAUUGGCUCGUAUGUGGCUACUGAAUAUGAAAACUUAAAAGAACUCUCAUAGCAAAGAAUUUUCAUAAUUUAAGUGGUUAAAAAUAUCUACUCAUGUACUCGAGGUAUCCUAUAUUCAAUUUUUCUCAAAGUCACACUUUUUCUAUGUUAAAAUUAAUCGAACCAAACCGGUCGAAUUGGUUUAAUUUGGCCGGUUUGAUAUGUCCAACAUCUCAUCCCCUAUAUGACUUUUAUAUAAUCUUCAUAAUGAAUGAUCAACCACUAGGUUCAUUACAUGAUCAUUAUUCAAUACAUCUAAACUAUAUAACCACAUUAUCAAAUUAACCAUUACGAAACUUAAUCACAUGCACACACGCCACUACAUGUUGCCCACAUUAAACCUCAACUAAUUUACAUUAAUUUGGUCCAAAGUUUUUUUUUUUUUUUCUUUCUUAUAACCAGUCCAAACUUAUCAAUUUGGACACUAGGUUGUCAUAUGCACGCGUUAUAGAUUUCUUAAAUUUAAUUUACUUCAAUUUGACAUUUAAAUCAUUAAUCAAGAUUCAUAUGUGCUCGUGACAAAGCACUCUAGCUAGCUGUGAUCAGUAUAGAACAUCAAGUGGAAAUAUAUAUAUAUUCUCUUUUAUUGAGGGAUCCCUUAAAUAAUUUUAUUUGAGAGACACCCUUUAGGGUUCCCUAUAAUAAAAAAUUCAACAAUUCAAACCAUAUAUUUUUUGAUUUUAUAAAUCAUCUUUACAAAAAAUUAAAUAAAUUGAAUAUCGUCUGUUUUUUAGUUCUACAUUCAUAGUUCUGUAUUCCCACUUGAUGUUCUAUACUGAUCACAGCUAGCUAGAGUGCUUGUCACGAGCACAUAUAUAUGUACAUAUUGUUUCUGAAUUUUGAGUUCUGACUUUUUAUUUUGCAAACCCAACCUGUUAAACUCGAUUUAGUUAAUCUGAGAAAAUCACAUGCUUAAUUCUUCUUGCUUUGGUUUUCAGUCAAAUUAGAGUGGGCUUGUAUAUAACACAGCAAGUAAUAACUGAUGAUAGAUAGGCUUUACGGGGGAAGGUCGGUCGUUUGGUUAAGCCUCAGAUCUAAUGCGUAGUUAUCAUAAUAAAAUAUUUGCAUUUGGUAGGUGCAGAAAGAUUGGGUCUGUGUCUUGUGGUGCUCAUACAUCAUGUAGGUCGUGUACGUUGACUAUAUGCAUGCCUGUGCCUAACGCGUUCUCUCUCUGAAACUUCUUGUGCAGAGAAUUGAACCCAUAUAGAUCUUCACCUAAUAAAUUCCAUAUCUUUUCUUUUUUGGUUUCAAAUUAGGCCACUCUAACCUCUGGAAUAUUAAGCAAAUUAAAUAAUAUAUAGGGUAGAAACUCCCUGCCAUAUAACCAACAAAAAUAUUAUUGAAUAUAUAUAUUUGUCUGCGACCACAAAUAAAAGAAUAUUAUUUAUAUAUUCUUUAAUUCUUAUGUUCAUAGGUUUUGGACAUGUACAUGAUGACCAAUAUUCCAGUAGGUGCACAUUACCAACCCCAACGUUGACAAAUGACAUAUGAUACGACAGUGGGAAGACAAAAGCGAAAUAAAUCACGGACAUAAUAAUUCAUCUCCUAAAAGUUAAUUUUGUUUGUUUAGAAAAACUUACGUGAGAUUGUUUUUGCUAGUUAAAUAUAAUAUGUGAUUAAGAAAUAAUUAUUUGUUAUUAAAUUUGAACACAUGAUUAUUUUCUAAUUGGAUUGUUUUGUCACUCGAUACUGAGUCUCGUGACAAAUAUAUGAUCUAAACGGGUUGUUUAGCUUGCAUUAUUAGAAGAAUAAUAGAAAAAUACUUCCCUCCUUACUAUAUAAGUAUGAACUAUAUUUUCAUCAAUAACAGUACGACAUGUGUAUAAAAAAUUUUCUUUUUGUAAGUAUCUCCUUACGGAAAAUGAGACAAGGAGUACCAUAUAAAACUACGUUUAAUUAGAUCGUUCUAUAUUGGUUGACAUAUGCGUGACAGCUGCCAUAGCCCCCACCCUUCCUUGUCAAGAAGUUAAUAGCAUCAAUCUCAAUUCUAAGCUGCGUUUUCCUUUGGAUAAAGUCGUGCACGUUUACUUUAUGAAAUUCAAUACCAACUUUAUAUUCUCUAAAACAAUAGUCAAAUUGGCUUGAUCACUUUCUAUAUAUAGAUACGAACCCCGUGACCCUAUUUCACAUUCCUCAAAAGCUCUCCCUUCUCCAUUAAUUAGAGCAAUGGCUUCUAAGCUCUUUUCUCUUGUAACAUUUUCUUCAUUUCUCAUUAUUUUCAAUCUCCUUAGCUCUCCGUCUUUAGCAGAUGUCCCUCUAAACACUCCUCUCCCACCAGAAACAAUCUGCAAAUCCACCCCACACCCUUCUUAUUGCAUAUCUGUUCUUCCCCACAAAAAUGCCAAUGUCUAUGACUUUGGCAGGUUUUCAGUCCAACAUGCUCUUUCCCAAUCCCAUAAGCUCUUUGAUUCAAUUGAAAAGUAUCUUCAAAGUAGCUCAGCUUUGCCACAGCCAGCAAUCCAAGCACUUGAGGAUUGCAAGCUGCUUGCAUUGUCAAACAUUGAUUUCUUAUCAAGCUCCCUCCAAACUGUCAACAAGACAAGUGGUGUUCUUUCUAGCUUGGAUGCUGAUGAUGCCCAAACCUUGCUUAGUGCCAUUUUAACCAACCACCAAACUUGUUCUGAUGGGAUUGAAUCUCUGCCAUCUUCAGCUGGGAGUGCCAUCAGUGAUCUGUCGGUUCCAAUUUCUAACAACACAAAGUUGUACAGUGUCUCUUUGGCUCUGUUCACCAAGGGUUGGGUGCCUAAGGACAAAAGUGGGGUGCCAAAGCGACCCAAGAGGCAAUUCAGAUUCGGAAAGGGACGGUUGAACCUGAAGAUGUCAAGCCACGCUCGUGCAAUUUAUGACGCUGCUAUCAAUCAUCGGAGAAGAAGGCUUCUUCAGGUAGGAGAUGAAGAGGUUUUGGUGAAGGACAUUGUGGUUGUGAGUCAAGACGGAAGUGGAAACUUCACGACCAUCAAUGAGGCCAUAGCAAUCGCACCAAAUAACUCCGUUGCUAGUGAUGGCUACUUCUUGAUAUAUAUCACUGCCGGUGUAUAUCAAGAGUAUGUGUCAAUUAUAUCGAAAAAGAAGUAUCUGUUGUUCAUCGGAGACGGUAUCAACCAGACAAUCAUCACAGGAAACAACAGUGUAGGAGAUGGCUCGACAACUUUCAACUCUGCUACUUUAGGUGAGUUAAUUCAAACAUUCAUACUAAAAACGUCAUUUUUAGAACCGCACAUUCAGACAUAAUUAAUUCAAAAAACAUUAGUGGUUUGAUUUGAUUCCAAAGUCUGUUAAUAAUGGUUUCCAAUUUAUAAUAUGACAACAUAACAUAUCAGAUUAUCUUAUACUUUAAAAUAAAAAAUAAAAAUAAAAACUAAAUGUUUACAAUUGCAAAUAUUUUAUUGAUGAUUAAUAAGCUAAUUAACUUCAUGAUCAAUAUUGCAGCUGUGGUGGCAGAAGGGUUUAUGGCAGUGAACAUUACUGUUCGUAACACGGCUGGACCAAGCAAAGGGCAGGCAGUUGCACUCCGAAGCGGGGCAGAUUUGUCAGUUUUCUAUAGCUGCAGCUUUGAAGGCUACCAAGACACCUUAUACACGCAUUCUCUCAGACAAUUCUUCAGAGAAUGUGAUAUCUAUGGAACAGUUGAUUUCAUAUUUGGUAAUGCUGCUGUUGUUUUCCAAAACUGCAACAUAUAUCCUCGUCAGCCUAACAAAGGGCAAUUCAAUCCCAUCACUGCUCAAGGUCGAACCGACCCGAACCAGAACACAGGGACCUCAAUUCACAACUGCACUAUUAAACCAGCAGCCGAUUUGGCCUCAAGUAACUUCACUGUCAAGACCUAUCUAGGAAGGCCAUGGAAGGAAUAUUCAAGAACAGUUUACAUGCAAACUUUCAUGGAUAGUUUUAUAGAUCCUGCUGGUUGGCAUGAUUGGAGUGGUGAUUUUGCACUGAGCACAUUGUAUUAUGCUGAGUACAAUAACACAGGUCCUGGAUCCAGCACUGCCAAUAGGGUUACAUGGUCUGGUUACCAUGUGAUCAAUUCAACUGAUGCUGCGAAUUUCACAGUUUCCAACUUCUUGCUGGGGGAUAAUUGGUUGCCUCAAACUGGUGUGCCUUACACUGGUGGCUUAAUUUGAGCAACUUAAUGUUAAAUUUAUUGUUGUGUUUGUUUUCCUUAAUGUCUUUUGUUUAAGAAGCAUCAAAGCUUCCAGCUUCUGUAACUCAAGUUUUUUUGUAAACUGUGGAAAGCAAUAUUUAUUUCUUCAAAUUGGAACAUGUGUAUGAUUUCUUCAUAAUUAGAAUAAAACUCUUUUGCAUACAUGGGUUAGACCAGUGGGUCCUUGCACCCAAAUUCGAAUCCCCUCUGGCCCCCAAAACAGUGUAGAUUAGAUGAAUUUAGAUUAUCGUUUGUAUUUAUAAAAAGAAAAGAAUGAAACUCUAGCUAUAGGUAAAGGCAUUUAAUAUUUUGAGAGCCAAAAUCCCCACCAACUUGUUGUUGUGUCCUUCAUAAUAAAGCAUGUUUGGUAUAGAAGACACCUCAGAAGCCAUACAACAAACAUGUUUAAUAAGAAUCUUAAUUAGAAAUUUAAAUGAGUUUUAGCUAAAGUGAAGCAAUAACAACCCAAGUCGCUGUGUAUGUUACAACAAACAAACCCUUAUGAGCGCUUUCAUAGGGGAGAUUACACUCCAUGCAAUAACAUAUAAACAUGCAUGAAACAUAAAAUCAAUGGCCAAACUCAUUUCUCGUGCCACCGAACCAUUUUUUUCUCCACCAAACAAACUUUAGCUCCAUCCAUCUUUUGAGACCUCUCGCUUCUCUCUCUCUCUUUCAAAAUCUAUCUGUAACGUGUCCUUAUAUUCUUCUUCCCUCCCCUGCCAUCUUCCUCCAUCACCCCAUCCCCAAUUCUUCUCCUUCUUGACCCUCCAAAACAAAAACAAAAAAAUCCAAAAAAAAAAAAAACCCAAAAAAAAAAAAAAUACGAACACCUCCCUCUGUAGUCCUCCUCCAAUGAAUCUCUGAUCGGUAUGGUGUGGUUUUCGCAAUGUCUCGCUAAUUUAAAUGUAUAAAUUAUGACGAGGAUGAGCAAGUAGCGAAGAAUCACAUCCACCACUGGUCUGGGAAAAAUUAAAGAGAAAUGGAGGUUCAGAGGAUGAGGCAGCUGAUGUUGUUAUGGUCUAGAAUACAAAGCAACCGCGUGGCCCUCGUGGGUGGGAACCACACCGCCGCCCGAUUUUGCACCCGCUAAGUAUUUUGCCUCUCCGCGCUAUUUCUCCCUCUCCCUCUCUGCCCUAACAAAAGUUAAU